rnacentral:lncRNA from 1 species
GAAGACCCAAUGCCAAUAUUAGAAAUGCUUCCAGUGUUGAGUGUUCUCCAAAUGCGUGAGGAUACAUAUGUGGGGAAGGAGAUGGUGUGCUCCGCAACCGGUUUUCCUAAACUCACCGUUCUUAUUUUGUACAAGUUCACAAAACUUGAAAAUUGGAGGGUGGAGGAAGGAAGCAUGCCCAUCCUUUCAUACUUGAUUAUUGGAAGAUGUAACAAGUUGGAGGAGCUUCCCGAAGGCCUUGUGUUCCUCAAGUCCCUUCAUAUAGCUCAAAUGCCUCAAGAUUUCAAUGAUAGGCUUAAAAGGCAAGAUGGUGAACAACGACCCGACUUUAUGCAAAUAUGGAGUUAGCCAGAAAUUUUCUUGUUUUAUGCAAAUCCAGAAAUUUGCUCUCUACUUUUAUUCAGUUUAUGAAAUGAACAGUUUACAAGCUCCGAAAGGUAUAUCUAGUGAUUUUGUCCGCACGUUCUCGACCACUUGCAGACCGUCAAAAUCAAUACCAGGCCACAUUUAUUAUUUUCACACUAACUUUUAAGUUGUGGAGGGUCGAGAAAUCAAAAUGCAUGUAACCAGGAUAAGCCAACAAGGAUGCUGUCAACUGUUUUGUUGCAGGACCAGACUCACAACUAUUUGUCGGUGUUAACUGGCCACACUGGACCAGUCAAGUGUAUUCCAUUUCAAGGGUCUUCUGCUCACCAGUGUAGUGUUUACGAUAUGAAAGUAGACCUGCAAGCAUAAAAGCAAGCAAAUGCCAGCCUUCCUAGCAAAUAAUAACUUACAUUUUGCAAUGACUGUUUCCUAACUUUGUGAGCUCAACUGCAUAGUGACUAAGAAAAAAUCAAAGAAAUCAGUUGAUUACAGGUUCUGUUUCACUGGAGUCCAUAAUUAAGCAUAGCUGGUUGAUCUGAGGCAUUAAUCACCAUCCCCUGAAAUGCAUUUUCUUACUGCUCUGUUGGUAAUUUAUUUUAGUAGCAUUUAAUACUCGGAUUCCUGUUGAUUAUGGUUGCUACCCCUACAACUAUUGUAUAAUGUUAAUGGACAUAGAGCAUCUCCAAUGAGAUUUUUAAACAAGUUCUUAACUCUAAAUUUAUAGAGUAAGUUAAGAAUUAUUGCUCCAAUGAGCUCUAAGAAGCUCUUUAAAAAUUUAAGAGCCUACUAUCUCCUCACUUUUAAAGAGCAUGCAGUAGCUCUUAUCUUUUUAUUUGUGAAUAUAAUAUUAAUUUCCCUCCAAUCUUCUCUCUCUUUUAAUUAACUUUUCUCUCUCAUUUAUACAAAAUAAAUAUAAAAUAUGAAUAAAGAGCUACGUAUAAACAGUAGCAUUAAAGUUAUCAUGUUUUUCAAUGUAUUAAGUCACUAGGAGCCAUAAUUUAUAUUAUUGUUGAAGAAAUGAUUUAGUAGCACCAUUGGAGAUGUUCUUACUCCUUGUGAACAUAGAAUAAAUUAUUUUUUUUGUGCCAAUUCAGUUACGUAAAGAUUUGUCAGAAACAUUUUGUUACUCCACACUAUAAAUUGUCGUGGACGAAUUUUGACCCAUGACAAGUUUUCUCUUCAUAACAUUAUCACUUGGAAAGGUCCUUCAGCAAAUGACAGGAUGUCACCAAUUGCCAAAUUCAUUGCAAUUGCGAACUCUUAAAGUUUUGUUAAUUCAUGUUGGAGUGCAUAUAAGCCUGAACUGCUAUAGCUUUAAUAUACAUGAUUUCCCGACCUGAACUGCUAUGAGUGUUUCCUAGAUUUGAUGGUGAUCAGUAUGUUCAUGGACGGGGCAUCGCCGUCUCAGAGGAGAAGCGGAAGAGGAUGCGACAAUAAGAUUUAUGUGUGUAUUGUAUACUCCCUCCGUCUCAUUCAUUUGUAUACAGUUUCUUUUUCUGGACAUCCCACCAAUUGUAUACAUUCCAAAAAUAGUAAACUUUUAUAAUAUAAAACACCAUUACACCAACUAUUUUCCUCCACUAUCUCCAUUCUAUAAUAAUAUAAACACUAUUACACUCAUUACUUUCCUCCACUAUCUCAAAUCUAUUAUUAAAUAUAAAUGGUCCCACCACUAUACCUACUUUUCAUCUAACUUUACUCAUUUUUUACAUUUUUUCUUGGUCUUCGUAUCCCAACCAAAUGUAUACAAAUGGUUGGGACGAAGGGAACUAGAGCACACGUGAUAGUCAUCAAUCCAGUCAUUUUAAUUUGUUCCCCAAGCUUGGGUGGUGUGGAUGUUAAUAUAGUCUGAGAACCAUUCAUGUUUGAGCAAAGAGUUGUGUGUUAAUAUUGUCUAAGAACCAUUCGUGUUUGAGCAAAGAGUCAUUUGAGUAAAUACGAAUGAUCUCCCCUGUAGAUGUAGAAACCAUUGAAGUUAUAUAAAACUCAAGCAAAUCACAAAUGCACACACAGAUGAGACAAGCUCGUUUUAUUAAUCCGAUAAAUUGCUGCUUACAAAAUGAAAGAAACACACUCUGAUAAACUCAAGUUCAGAGUGUUGGAAAAAAAGUCCUACUUAAACAACUAGCUAAGAUGGUAAGGAUAAACAAGAACUGCUGCCUAUCGUUAAUCCACUCCUACAUGCACUCAUGAAAAACAGCUACAGCUACGGCCUAAUCUUGUGUGCACACUGAUCACAUAGCAACUUAUUUAAAAUAACUAAAUUAAAUAAAAAGCAACUGAAGUAUAUCAGAAUUUAGAUCAAACUCCAACAAGCUCCCCUAAUCUAAACUCGAUUGCAGGUUCUUCACACCCAAUAGCUCACACAUUCCCUCAAACUUAGCCCUUGACAAUGCCUUGGUCAAUACAUCAGCUCUCUGUUCAUUUGUGUUGACAUGUACUUUGAGUAUAAUUUCACCACAUUCUACACAUUCCCAUAUAAAGUGGUAGCGAAUAUCUAUGUGUUUACUCCUUCAUGAAACACUGGAUUCUUUGCCAAAUCUAUUGCCCACUUGUUAUCAAUAUACAGCACCACAGGACCAGCCUUUAUAUUCGUCAUCCGUCUGAGAAGUUUAUAAAGCCAUAUGCCUUGACACACAGCUGCAUUGUUUUUGACAUUGCCAUACCUCUAGUAGACCUCUUGUCAUCCACAUUUCCAACUAGGUCGCUGUUUGAAUAUCCUGAGAGCAAGUAGUUUCCAUCCCGUUUAGAAUAAACCAACCCAUAAUCAAGAGUUCCAUUCACAUAACGAAAAAUUCGUUUUGCUGCAGCUAGGUGCAUGACUAUGGGUCUCUCCAUGAACCUGCUUACUAUGCCAACUGAAUAAGCUAUAUCAGGUCUUGUAAAUACAAGAUGCCUGAGUCCUCCAACCAUACUUUUAAGGCUUAAUGACCUUUUAGCCCUCGAAGUAUGAAUGGAAGUUCCGAUGCGGUCUUGAAGUUUAAAAACGUACAAUUCGACCCUCAAAGUAUUUUUGUCGUACCUUUUAGCCCUUUUUAAAAAUACCGGCAUAAAUCGGGGGAUAACUUGAAAAAUAGGCAAGAGCAUAACCCAUCAGCACACCAAGAAUUCCUACUAAUUCUCAUUUUAAGCCGACCCUUGAACAUAUAUAAACCAUGUAGGCAAGUAUUCCUUAAUUAAAGAAUGAAUAAAACUUUCUCCAUCUGUUAUCUAAACUAUUGAAGCCACCAGCGAAGUUGCAACCUUGACAUGUGCCAUUGCUGCAGCAAAAGAAACCUGAUUAUAUCGCAUUCCGUAUUUUACUUUUUUCAGCUUCUCUAGUUAUUCUGUAGGCAAUCCCUUAGUUGCAAUUUCGCUAACAGUAUCCAGCAGCUGGGUAACUAUUUCUUUUGAGAUGAAUAUAACAUUCCCGACAGAUCGGUGGACACGUAGGUAAAGUAUUCCAUUCAUUAUUGUUUUUCCAUGUCAGACAUACCAAUCAUUGCCAUCUGUCAGCAAGGUGGAUGUUGUUGAGGUUAAAUUUUUCAACUUAACGUUUGCUGUUAGUUUUUUCUAAAAAAGCUAAUAGAAUGAUAUAUAACUAGGGGUGUAAAUGAGUCGGGCCGAGCCGAACUCUAGAGUGCUCGUGUAUCGUUUGUUAAAAAAUUAGCGAACUCGAACUCGAGCUCGUACUUAGAUCGAGCCAAAAAUAUUGUUUGAGGAUCGACUCAUUAAGGAAUAACUCUGUUCACGAACGGCUCGUGAACUGCUCACAAACAUGUCUCACGAGCUUUUGCUCACGAACUGCUCAUUAACUUAUGCUCACGAACAUGUCUCAUGAAUUUUUGCUCACAACCGCUCAUUAAUUUUGUUCACGAGCUUGUUUAAUAAACUUUGCUAACAAGCUAGCUUAUGCUUAUAAAUUUUUAUGAGCUUGUUUGUUAUUUAACUUAAUUAAAAUAAAUAAAUUAAAAUUCUAACAAUAUUUUAAUUUAUGCUCUAAGGAAACAUAAAUUCAUAAUAAAUCAUGUUUACGAGCUAGUUCACGAACUACGCUCACGAGCCAAAUUCACAAACCAUGUUUACGAACUCAUUAUUCGAACUUGUUCACGAACUAUCGAGUCGAACUCUACAGUGCUCAAGUUCAGCUCGUUUAUAUAACGAAACCUAAAAUUGUGCUCAGGAUCGACUCGUUUAUGAAUCGAACCGAGUUCGAACCGAGUUUUUUUCGAACCGAACACCGAGCGGUUAUCGAGCGUAUCAACUCAUUUACAGCCCUUAAUAUAACAGUAUUUUAGUGGGUUAUAUGAGUCGCCGUGGAGAUCGGGUAGCUACUUGAUAUAUUUUGCUGAGUUCGGUGGGCAAUCUGAUAUAAAACCCAAAACCAAACCAAAUUAAUACUAAAUUUGAUAUUUGAUAUAAUAUAUGAUUUUGGUUCAUAAACCCGUCCAAAUCCAUAUUAAUCAACUAAAAUUGGUCCAAAACCUGAGAGGUCUACUUACUCUCUCGACACAAUUGGUAUAUGAUGAAAAUUUGAACCUUCGGGAAUUGAAAAUAUAUGGGCAUAUACCAGAGGUGGAUCUAAUAUUUCCGCUGCAAUAUGUUGGGGAUAGUAAUGCUCAUGUAUCUAAAGUUCAUAUUACAAGAUUAUAUUUAUCGAUUUCAUACCUGGAAGAAGACCCAAUGCCAAUACAAUACUGGAAAUGCUUCCAAUGUUGGGUGUUCUCUGUUUGUUUACCGAUACAUAUAUGGGGAAGGAGAUGGUGAGCUCUGCAACCGGUUUUCCUAAACUCACCCACCUUUUUCUGGACAGCUUACCGAAUCUUGAUAAAUGGAGGGUGGAGAAAGGAAGCAUGCCCAUCCUUUCAUACUUGCGUAUUCAAAGAUGUAACAAGUUGGAGGAGCUUCCAGAAGGCCUGGUGUUCCUCAAGUCUACGGGUGUGCACGGGUCGGUUCGGCUCGGUUUCUACCUAAAACCGUUACCGAACCGUGUAUUUCGGUUCGGUUCGGUUUUAGGGUAGAAACCGUAACCGAACCGUUUCAAACGGUUUUUUUCGGUUCGGUUAACCGUGGUCGGUUUCGGUUAUAAUAUUUGUUAUUUUAUCAUAUAUUCAUAUAUAGUUUUAAUUUAAUUAAUUUUAUCGUAAAAAUAAAAUUAUGAUAGAAUAAUGUGGUUAAAUAAAUUUUUAUUUAACAGUUGAAUAAAUUCUUAAUACUUAUGACUAAUUAAAAAUUAGGUCGAACAUAUAUUUUGAUGAGAAUGUUAAAUAUAUUUAUUUACAUGUUAUAAUUUAAGGAGAUCUAUAAGCCCAUAUAUAAAUCAACAACCUCAUAAUAUUUCGUUAGUAAUAAUUAAAAAUAUAGUAUAAAACAUAUUAGAAGUCAAAGAGACGCGUAAUCCCAAAUAUCGAUCCAUUACCUAAUUUUUAAUGUUUUGAUUCGAUAGAUAAUAAUAAAAUAUUAUAACAUAUUAUAAAUUAAUGAGGUCCGUGGGUUGAAUACCAAUGGUCUCACCAAACUCGAUUGAUCGACCGACCAACUAACCAAUUGAACUUUUCAUUUUUCGGCUUUUGGCUUUAACAGUAUAAUAAUAUAUAGUAUAGUAUAAAUUUAUAAUAUCACUUUUAAUGUGAGACCGUUAGAGUAUUUAAAUAUAAUGUUAAUUAAUUUCGGUUGAAAAAUAUCACCUGUUAUUUAUUAAUAAAUAUAUAUAAUAAUAUUAUGUUUUUAUACAUAUGUCGCCUGUGUUAAUUGUAGAAAAACGAUUUUUUAGUUUGAAAAAAAUAUUUAUCUUGAACUUUAAAUCUUUAAAAUUAAAAAAAAAACAUUUUUUUCAACGGAGAAGUUGUGUUUGUUGAAUUACAUUUAGUUUCAAAUUGCAAAAAUACUUUCUUAAAAAUUUUAAAAAGAUUGUAUAUUAUCGAAAAAGAACUCUAAACAUGUGUUAUAUCCUUAAAUUCUAUACUCUCUGGCGCAGAAAAAUAAAUUAUAUUCGAAACAGAUUAUUAAUUUGAACUUAAAGUAGCAGAGAGGUGUUUCGGUGAAAACCCCCGCUUAGUGCACAAUAAAAUAAAUACACAGUGUGUGAUAUAAUAAGAAUAUAAUAUCUUAGCCAUGUCCUUCUUCACACAGUACUUACCUAAACAGUUCCUAAUGCAUCUGUGAAGUGAGGACUUACCUAAACAGUUCCUAUUAUCACGAAUGCAUCAUGAACUGAGCUAACCCUUCCCUUAAAACAUAAUGCAACGAACCUCGCAAUGUCUGUAAGCCACGAGACCUGGUCUCAACUAUUCUAAUAAGUCGUCCCCAAUCAUUCUUAUCUAAUGUCAUAUCACCCGUUCCCGAUCAUUCUUAUCUAAUGUCAUAUCAUCCGUGAGAUUCAAGGCUCUCAUGUCCAAACUUAAUUGAUCAGCCCAUGUCCGACGAGACUCACUUCUCUUUCUCUAGUCAUUCAUUAUUCUUGAGGUGAACAACAUUUAAAAAAAUUCAGAGCCGAGGUAUUCUUACACAGCAAAAUAUCGAUUUAUGAUAAUGUUGGACAGCAGAAAAUGAAAAGGAAGUAAUAUUUCACUAACCAUAUGUGAUAUCCAAUCCCAACAUUGAAAAUUGCUCACUCGAGAGAGACUGUUUUAGUAUCUCAUUAAUUAUUCUCGAAAUGGACAAGUGUUAAAGGAAUCCCGGAGCCACAAAUAUAACCACCUAACGACAGAAUAUUAAUUUAUGAUAGUACUGGACAGCAGAAAAUCAGAGGAAGUAAUUUUUCACUAGCCAAUAUGUGAUAUAUUUUCAUGCCGCCAACACAACAGAGUACAUUGUUGCCCAAAGGUUGCAACAACACACAAAACUAGGAAACUUCAAAAUCUUGACUCCUGCCCAUUGUUCAAACUUUUUCUUUGUGAUCUUUUUUUAUAAUGAAACACUUUUGUUUUUUUUCCUUUAUAGUUAAAACUACAAUAUAUACAGCGUUUAGGACUGGGAAACUGCUUUCUUCAAGACGCUGAAGGUGACAAGCAUAAGCAGUGAUAUCAUGAUCUUCUUUGAAGCAAGUAUCCGCAAGUUCACCUUCAUGCCAUGGUAACUCAUGAGCUUCAGUGUUGCUCUAAUUACUGACAUAAGCCAAGAUACAACGGACAAGAACACCACUUUCAUUGUGUCUGCAGGUCCAUUCACACUUCUUGUGCCUCCCGACACCUCGACACAGGACCAAGCAGCGCCUUGAUUAUCGGUGGUUCCACUAUGAUUGAGGCCAAGUUUCUCGUUCAACCAACAUGAUAAAGUCACAAGCAGCUUUGCAAGCCAUGCAAUCUCAUCACUGGAGACUGGUCGCAUCAACCAGUCACCCCUGUAUUUCUUACCAGUUUGCUUCUUGUUUCGUAUCAAACUGUUAGUAUUUUACAGACUCUAAGAUGUAAUGUCUGAAGAGUUUUCUAGAUCCAUUUUGAGGAUCAUACAUCUGUACUAUAAAAGAAAGAUCAUGUAAUGCAUUUCAUAAGAUGAAAUCAGUUCAAUAAAAUCUUUUUUAGUAAUCAUAUACUUUCAAUUACAACAGGUGGUAUCAAGAGCACAAGUCUAUCCAUUUCGGCACAAACAUUCUCUACACUAUGACAACAUUCAGCACUAUCUCUGCAGAGUCAUAAAAAAUAUCAAAUAGAUACUUUCUAAUAUCUUUUCGAGAAGUAAACUUUGUUUUUCAUUGAGUUUCACACAUUUUUCUUGGCUGUUAGUAUAAUCAACUAAAAGGCUAUGAAUUCUAGUAUUUUUUUAUAAUAUAUUCAGAUUUUAAGAAAUUUAUUUACUAUUUAUUUUUAAUUUUACAACUAUUUUGUUUCAUUUAUAUCAAAUAAAUAAUAAAUAAAUUUCUUAAAAUCUAAAUAUAUUAUCAUAAAUACUACUCCCUCCGUCCCUCCCAUUUCUUUACACUUUCCCUUUUGGGAUGUCCCAUCCAUUUCUUUACAUUUCAAAACUUAUCCAAAAUAGUCAAUUGGUCCCACCACUUCUUCACUUUUCUUUCCUUUUCACACUACUUUUACUCCACUAUCUUCUUUUUAUACAUUAAAAAUCAAUGGGUCCCACCACUUCACCCACUUUUCUUUCUCUUUUCCACUACUUUAUACAUAUUUCUUAACCUCCGUGCCCAACCCAAACAAUAAGAAAUGGGAGGGACGGGAGGAGUAUAAUUCAUAGCCUUUCAUUUGAUUAUACUAACAGCCAAGAAAAAUGUGUGGAACUCAAUGGAGAAUAAAGUUUACUUUUUGAACGGAUAUUAGAAGUAUCUAUUUGAUAUUUCUUAUGACUUUAAUGAUUCAAAUGAGACCAAAAAUUUCCAAGUGAUCCACCUGAUAUUUUCUAGUGCAAAAAGUGACCUAGUUGAUAAUUAACCCAAAUGAAAACUGCCUUACGAGCUUAUGACUUGUGGGAUCUUGUCGAGAAUGAGUUCCAAAAUCUGCAGAUCCUCAAGCUUCCCCACAAUCAUCCAGGUCAUCGACAAUUUCAGUGAAUGAAUCGCUCAAAAGGAACGCAGAUGCACUAGCAAAAACAACAAGCCGUUGCUGAUUAUAUUUUUCCCAGAAUCAUGAAUACUACUUCUGCAAAACAAGCUUGGGAGACAUUACAAGAUGAAUAAAUUCCAAGGCACUGCAAAAGUUUGAACAAUCAAACUUCAAAGCCUGCGAAGAGAAUUUGAGAAUAUCCGAAUGAAAGACACGAGUUAUUGGAGUUGUGAAUCAGAUGGAAGACCUUUGGCGACAACAUUUCAGAUCAAAGAGUCAUUAAAAAAUUGUUAAUUUCUCUCACAAAUAAGUAUGAUUCUAUUGUUGAAAUUAUAGGAGAAUCAAAAGACAUCUCUAUACUUUCUAUCACUGAACUUGUUGGUUCAUUACAAGUAACAAGCUCAUGAAUAACAAAUCUCUCGGCGAAUGUCGAAGGUGCUUUACAGUCACAACCUAGGAAGCAUGAGUGCAGGUGCGGGUACUGGGGUGCACAAUACGGGGAUACGGGAAUUCGGCAAAUUUAAAAAUAUGGGGAUUCGGGUGCGGGGGAUUCGGCAAUUAUUAAUAUAUUAAAAAUAUAUUUUAUACAUGUAUUUGAAGAGUUAUAUUCAUAUUUAAACUAAAUAAAUGAAUAAAUAAGUUCAAUAUCCUUAACAAUAUACAAUAUAAUUAUUUAAUAACACAAUUAUUGCAUUAUAAUGUAGUUAAGUGAUAGAGUAUUCAAUUAAUCACAGAAUUAAUCAUUAAAAAGAAUCCCUAAGAAUCACCGAAUAUCGAAGAAUCCCAAAAAUCGAGUGUGCGGUGCGGCGAGUGAGUGAAGUAUCCCUGCUUUUUAGGUCACAACACAAAAACUGGCCUCCAUCCAAAGGUUGAAAAUUUAGUAAAGGAAAAAAUGUUAGCAACAGCUUCAAGGAAGAUGCAAGGAAAUCUAAAUUCUACUGCAAAUUGUACAAGACUGUCGUAGUGCUAGUUAAUCCAAAGGCAAAACACCUUAGAUCUAGGAAGUACCGGAAGUACGGUACGCAAAUACGGGGAUUCGGGAAAAUGAGGAUACAGGUAUGGGGAUACGACAUACAUAAAAAAUAUUUGUAUUAUAUAUAUUAUAUAUUUAUUUAUAUAUAGCAAAACUAAAACUAACAUUCAAAUUAAAUCAAAGUACAUAAAAAUCAGCCACCAAGUCACCAACUAUAUACACAUAACCUCACACAUAAAUAUUAUCUAUAUUUUAACCAUAAACUCAUAAUUAAGAAAAUUAUGAGUCAAAGCAGGGAAGAACUUACCAAAGACGUAAAGAGGAUGGAAGAACUGGGAAGGGAAAUGGUUGAACAUUGUGCCGGUCUUCCGCUAGCUAUAGUCGUUUUGGGUGGAAUUCUUGUAACAAAACCGUCGUUGAUAGAGUGGGAGAAGGUAUAUCGUGAUAGUAAAUCAUCCCUCAAGGCGGGGAGAGGAUUGGAAGAAGCCUAUCAAAGGGAAAUAUUAAGUUUUUUAGUUUGGAGCUACAAUGAUUUACCCCCUCAGUUGAAGCCAUGCUUUUUAUAUUUAUCUAAGUUUGGUGAUAAUAAAUAUAUAGAAGUGGGGACUUUGUAUCAGCUGUGGAUCGCCGAAGGAAUGAUACUCUCGAGUGACAAAAGGGAAGGAGAAACAAUGAUUCAAGUGGCUGAAUCAUACAUGGGAGAACUAGUCCACAGGAGUAUGGUUCAAGUGAGAUUUAACAAUGUGAAAUCAUCACCUACAAAGUUUGAAGAUUGUUCUCUGCAUGACCUUAUGCGAGAUAUGUCUUUAAUACAAGCAAAAGCAGAAGAUUUUUUUGAAGAUAUACAUUCCAAAGUGCAAAUGAGUUUCAUCUCAAAUCUACUGCAGAUUCAAGAAACACAACUCGACUUGUGAUUAAUUUGGAUGAGGAAUAUUCUAGGAAAAAAGUUAAUUACUACUUCUCCAAGAAACGCGAUAAAAAAUGCUAUCGAUCAAUUUUACUCCUCGGUCAGUUUGGAGCGAGAAGUUUGCCACGGUCGCUCGGGUCACAUGUUGCCAAUUUUAGGUUCCUAAAAGUGUUUUCAGUGGAGAAAUAUACCAAUUUUUCUGGUGCAUUUUCCCAUAUUAAUUUUGGAAGAGCAUUAGGGGCCCUUGUUUACUUGCGAUAUCUUAGUGUAAGGGGCACUAAUUUGUUGGUUUUUCCUUCUAUACAAAAGUUGGUACUGUUACAAACUCUUAGAUUGCAUACAUGCGAUGAUAUGUAUGCUUUACCAUGGUUGUCAAGAGAUGUUCUGGUGAAGCUCGAUUGUUUGCGGCACCUGUAUUUGCCUAAAUUUAAAGUUGACGUUUUGGUAAGGAAAUCGAAAUUACGGUUUAAUGGGUUGAGCAAGUUAGAGACCCUGGAGAACUUUGACACUACUUGGUGUGAGGUUAAGGAUCUACGUGAACUAAUCAAUCUUCGGAAACUAAUGGUAACAGUGAGAGGUAGCUGUGAUAUUCUGGAAGAAAUGAUGAAAAACUUGGAUGAUAUAGCCUCCUCACCAUCUUCAUGUCUGAGCUACUUGGGUGUUGCUAUUAGUAAUUGUCAUCUCGAGCUGAACAAUGGUCUUACUAUCUUAAAACAAUUGGUAUAUGCUGAAAAUUUGAACCUUCGGGAUUUGAAAAUAUAUGGGCGUAUCCCAGAGGUGGGUCUAAUAUUUCCGCUUCAAUAUGUAUCUACAAUUGGUAUUACAAGUUUAACUUUAGCGAGUUCAUGCCUAGAAGAAGACCCGAUGCCAAUACUGGAAAUGCUUCCAAUGUUGGGUGUUCUCUGUUUGUUUAAGGAUACAUAUGUGGGGAAGGAGAUGGUGUGCUCCGCAACCUGUUUUCCUAAACUCACCUCUCUUUAUUUGCAAGAGUUCCCAAACCUUGAAAAAUGGAGGGUGGAGAAAGGAAGCAUGCCCAUGCUUUCAUACUUGCGUAUUGAAAGAUGUAACAAGUUGGAGGAGCUUCCCGAAGGCCUAGUGUUCCUCAAGUCCCUUCAAGUACUAGAUAUAUUUCAUAUGCUUCAAGAUUUUAAUGAUAGGCUUAAAAGGCAUGAUGGUGAAGAGGGACCCGACUUUCACAAAAUUUCUCAUGUCGAUAGACUCAUUAUUGACGAUCAGGAGUUAAAUUGAAUGUUCUUGCAAGCUUAUUAUUCCACAAAAUUAUUAGUUCACUUAUAAGGCUAUAAGCCAUAUUUGUCAAAAAAAACAAAAAAAAACUACUCCUUUAGAAAACGGCUCAGCGUUCUCAGGUUCAUAUUCACACCAUAUUCUCUUGUGAACUAGGGGCACAAUUUUCAUCAUUUUCUUUGUCUUACAAGCAUGCAAUCUAGUCAUUUGAAAUUGAUCACUUUAAAGACCAUCCUUGUGUCUCGUUCAUUUUCCUUGAGGUGAACAAGAGUUGAACAUAUUCGGAAGCAAUAAAUAUAACAGUCUUAUAACAGAAUAUCGAUUUAUGAUAAUGUUAGACUGCAGAAAAUGAGAGGAAGUAAUUUUUCACUGACCAAUAUGUAAUAUGUUUUCAUGCUAUUGCGGCCAACACAACAGAGUACAUUGUUUCCCACAUGUUGCAACAAAACACCAAAACUAGGAGACUUCUAACUCUUGACUCCACCCAUUGUUCAAACUUUUUCUUUGUGAUCUUUUUUUAUAAUGAAACACUUUUGUAUUUUUUUCCUUUAUAGUUAAAACUACGAUAUAUACAGCGUUUAGGACUGGGAAACUGCUUUCUUCAAGACGCUGAAGGCAACGAGCAUAAGCAGUGAUAUCAUGAUCUUCUUUGAAGCAAGAAUCCGCAAGUUCACCUUCAUGCCAUGGUCUCUCAUGAGCUUCACUGUUGCCCUAAUUACUGAAAUAAGCCAGAAUACAACGGACAAGAACACCACUUUCAUUGUGUCUGCAGGUCCAUUCACACUUCUUGUGCCUCCCGACACCUCGACAUAGGACCAAGCAGCGCCUUGAUUAUCGGUAGUUCCACUAUGAUUGAGGCCAAGUUUCUCGUUCAACCAACAUGAUAAAGUCACAAGCAGCUUUGCAAGCCAUGCAAUCUCAUCACUGGAGACUGGUCGCUUCAACCAGUCACCCCUGUAUUUCGUACCGGUUUGCUUCUUGUUGCGUAUCAUUCUAGGACUAAAUAUCUCAUCACGUGGAUGCUGAUUUUCUCUUGUCUCGGGGACUGCUUGUGUGUUCCUUGGAGUAGAGUUACCAAAUAAGCACCCCAUCUGGGCUUUGAUAGAAUCUAAACAAGCCAUAUUGUGAGCAUGAUUAUCUCCCAAGACGGUCUGCAGCUCCGACUCAGCACGCAGCACAAAGAGCUGCAAUUACAAUGUGAGUAGUGAGUGAGACUUGAGAUUUAGAAUGAUGUCAAUAUGCUUAAGACCUGCACAAGAAAUACAAGAAACAUAUACAAAAUAAGUAAACGGAAACUAUAACGAAUUGAUCCUGGGAUAAAAAUAUAUACUAAUUAUAAAAGAAAAUUUCCCCACUGUUACCCUGACUCUUCAUUUUGCCUCAAGUACACGUGUCGGACACUCAACACUUGAACAUCGGACACUCAACACUUGAACAUAGGUACAGACACUACAGAACUUAUUUUAGGCCAAAAACAUGUAAAUUUUCAGAAUACUACCGAGACACACUCGGACAGGUAACCAUGUUGGACACUUUUAGCUGACUCCAGGUAAUAUAGAUUCUUCAUAUGUAAGCUUACCAGAAGUAUCCCAUCAGUGCCCAUAAAUGAAAAGAAGCCGAAAGAAACUAUAAAAGAGGAAUAUAGCAGAUUAUUAUUAAUUAGUAGCCUUGCAUCAGUUUCCUCUAUAAUUCAACACAAGUAGCUUACGCGGAUAAAGACAUUCUUACCAGAUGCUGACGCAAGGAUUGAUGUAGAAAGAAUCCGGAUUUUGCUCCGGGAUGUACGAGAGCUUGCCUAUGAUGCUGAACAUGUUGUCGAAACUUUUGUUAUUAAAGCCUCAUCCACUAAAAAACCAUUUCAGCGGAUGAACAGAGUCAAGUUUUCAAGAAAGAUGAAAAAUAUACAGAAAAAGAUGUCCCUCCUCUUCAAUUUAUUUUCUGAUUAUAAUAUCAUACCAACUUCUGAAUCAACUUUCUCAAACAGGGCAAGUUUUCAAGAAAGAUGAAAAAUAUACAGAAAAAGAUGUCCCUCCUCUUCAAUUUAUUUUCUGAUUAUAAUAUCAUACCAACUUCUGAAUCAACUUCCUCAAACAGAGAAUCGGGAAAACUUAAGCGAUUUCACUCUUUCACUACUCCUGAACCAGAGUUAUUUGUUGGAUUUCAUGAAGACGUUGAAUGCUUGGUGCGACAUUUGGUGGAUGAAACUCAUGAUUCUUACCCACUUAUAUCUAUUUGUGGAAUGGGGGGCCUGGGAAAGACUACUCUCGCUCAAAAGAUAUACAAUCACUCUGCCAUCAAGACUCACUUUGCUGGUUUAGCAUGGGUAUCAAUUUCGCGAAAGUGGCAGACAGAUCGUGUGUUGCAGAGAAUUCUCAUAUGUCUCGUACCUGAGAACAAAGAAUCUAUCCUUAAUAUGGACAGCAACAAGCUAGUGGAGUAUAUGCUACAUAUUAAGGAACGGAAAAAAUGCUUGAUAGUCCUCGAUGACAUAUGGUCAACUGAUGCUUGGGAUGCAUUAAAAGCUGCAUUCCCAGCCGGGAAGUCCAUAAGCAAAUUAAUGCUUACAAGCCGUAAUGUUGAGGUUGCUAAGCAUGUAAAUUUGAACGGAUUCAUUCACAAGCCAGAAUGUCUAAAUCCAGAACAAAGUUGGGAGCUACUCAAGUUGAAAGCACUUCACACAGGAAAUUGUCUAGGUACAUAAUUUUACUUGCGUUAAUUAUAGUUCAUAUACUUUUUCCGCACCCUAUCUUUGGUACGACAGCCUUAAUGAGCCAUAUUUUCUGUUACUUGAGUUGGAUAAGUUUGGUUAGAGAUCUGCCCAGACAACCUUAAAUAACAUUGUUCUGUUCAAGUAACAUUUUUUUCGUGUUUGUUUGAAUUCGUUAGUCGUUUACAAACGUAUGUAUUAGAAUUGUAAACGAAUGUAACAGUUCAUUAAGUGCCCUCUUGAGGUUGAGUUAACGAACUCGAAUUCAAACCACAUAUUUUGUUUGAGAACCUUAACAAACUUUAUGGGGUUCAGUAAUUUUUGCUGGUGUUGACUCGAAGUUUAUCGGAGUUAAGUUCAUUAACCAUUUCCCUUCCCAGUUCUUCCAUCCUUUUUACAUCUCUGGUAAUGUCUGCAAAACACAAGAUACGGGAAUCAUAUGUGUGUAUAUAUAGACACACAAACGCAAGCCAAGAUAAUUUCUAAUUUAGUCAUUUGACUGGUGCAAAUAUUUAAAAGACACGUUCAAGUUAUAGCCCUAAUUGAACAUUGUGCCGGUCUUCCGCUGGCUAUAGUCAUUCUGGGUGGAAUUCUUGUAACAAAACCGUCGUUAAUAGAGUGGGAGAAGGUAUAUCGUGACAGUAAAUCAUCCCUGAAGGCGGGGAAAGGACUUGGAGAAGCCUAUCAAAGGGAAAUAUUAAGUUUUUUAGUUUGGAGCUACAAUGAUUUACCCCCUCAGCUCAAGCCAUGCUUUUUAUAUUUAUCUAAGUUUGGUGAAGAUAAAUGGAUCAAAUUAGAGACUUUGUAUCAGCUAUGGAUCGCUGAAGGAAUGAUACUCUCGAAUGACAAAAGGAAAGGAGAAACAAUGAUACAAGUGGCUGAAUCAUACAUGGGAGAACUAUUGCAUAGGAGUAUGGUUCAAGUCAGAUUUAACAAUGUGGAAUCAUCACUUACAAAGUUUAAAGAUUGUUCUCUGCACGACCUUAUGAGAGACAUGUCUUUAAUACAAGCAAAAGGCGAAGAUUUUUUUGAAGAAAUACAUUUACAAAGUGGACAUGAGUUUCAUCUCAAAUCUACUUCAGAUUAAAGGCCAGCUUACACUCGACUUGUGAUUCAUUUGGAUGAGGAAUAUUCUAGCAAAAAAGCUAAUUACUACUUCUCUAAGAAAGGCAAUGAAAAAUGCUAUCGAUCAGUGUUAUUCUUUGGCGUCUUCGGUCCGAGAAGUUUGCCACGGGCAUUGGGGUCACAUGUUGCCAAUUUUAGGUUCCUAAAAGUGUUUUCUGUGGAAAAAUACACAAAUUUUUCUGGUGCGUUUUCUCAUAUUAACUUUGGAAGAGCAUUAGGGUCCCUUGUUUACCUGCGAUAUCUUAGUGUAAGGGGCAGUAAUUUGUUGGUUUUUCCAUCUAUGCAAAAGUUGGUGUUGUUACAAACUCUUAACUUAGAUACAUUCGAGGGUAUGUAUGUUUUACCAUGGUUGUCAAGAGAUGUUCUGGUGAAACUGGAUUGUUUGCGGCAUCUGUAUUUGCCGAUAUUUAAAGUUAACGUUUUGGGAAGGAAAUCAAAUUUUCGGUUUAAUGGGUUGAGCAAGUUAGAGACCCUGGAGAACUUUGACAGUAGUUGGUGUGAUAUUAAGGAUCUACGUGACCUAAUCAAUCUUCGAAAACUAACGGUAACAGGGAGAGGAAGCUGUAAUAUUCUGGAAGAAAUGAUGAAAAACUUGGUUGAAAUAGCCUCCUCACCAUCUUUUUGUUUGAGGUACUUGGGUGUUUGUGUUCUUUAUUGUCAUCUUCGGCUGAAAAACGGUCUUACUAUCUUGAAACAAUUGGUGUGUGCUGAAAAAUUGAACCUUCGACAUUUGAGAAUACAUGGGCGUAUCCCAGAGGUGGGUCUAAUAUUUCCAGUGCGAUAUGUUGGGGAUAAUUAUGCACAUGUAUCUACAAUUCAUAUUACAAGUUUAAAUUUAUCGAGAUCAUACUUGGAAGAGGACCCGAUGCCAAUACUUGAAAUGCUUCCAAUGUUGGGUGAUCUCUUUAUGUUUACAGAUACAUUUGUGGGGAGGAAGAUGAUGUGCUCCGCAACCGGUUUUCCUAAACUCACCAAUCUUUGUUUGUACGAGUUCCCCAAUCUUGAAAAAUGGAGGGUGGAGAAAGGAAGUAUGCCUAUCCUUUCAUACUUGCUUAUUGAAAGUUGUAACAAGUUGAAGGAGCUUCCAAAAGGCCUGGUGUUCCUCAACUCCCUUCAAGUAUUAAGAAUAUACCAAAUGCCUCAAGAUUUCAAUGAUAGGCUUACAAGGAAUGAUGGUGACGAGGGACCUGACUUUCACAAAAUAUCUCAUGUCGAUCCGUAGAGUCCGUAUAGAUAAUGAUCAGGAAUACAACUGAACGUUCUUGUAAGUUCCUAAGUUGUAACGUUUUUGUUUUGGUCUUGAAGAACAGAUUGUUUGAGAAACAAAUCAGAGAUAUUAUUAUAAUAUAUAGUAAUAAUUUUUUGAUGAGAAUAAAGGAGGUGAGAUCAACCUUAUUUAAACUGAUUGCUUCCUAAGGUUAAAUGACACACAUGCAUAUGCUCGUUAGGUAUUGUGUAAUCUCUCUAUUUUUAUUAAUAAAAUACCUCUAUUUACCUGAUAAUAUCUUCACUCCAUCUACAUACAUCAAAAGUAAUUCAUUUUUUUUGUCUUAUGUUGAUUCUGGGCCUUGGAAUGGAAUAACAAACACACGCAGAUGAGUAUAAUUCAAAGUAAUCUUCUUUUGAAUGUAGUUUAUAAUUCACUUUAAUUUUUUUAGGAAAUGAGCAAUAAUAUUGAAGAUUGUCAAAUUCUGGAAGAUUCGCCAUCUGAGGAUUCAUUGUCUACCAAUUUACAAGAUACCUACACUGCUGAAUUGGAUAUAGAGGAUGGUACACGAGCAUUUUUCAUGUCUCAUGAAGAUAUGUUAUUUCAAUCACAAGAAGAAGCAUAUAAUUUUUAUAACAGCUUUGGUUUGACUAAAGGAUGUGCAAUAGGUAAAUUUUAUAUAUACAAGUCUUAUGGUGAGAAGAACUCUUGUAUCUGAUAGAGAAGGUUUCAAAAACAAAAUAAGAGGAUGAUAGUGAGGACAACAUAAAACGACGUCGAGAAACUAGAUGUGGUUGCAAAGGUUCAAUGGAAAUUAUCCUAAAGAAAUUAGGGACAUGGAAAAUGAAAAAAAAAUUAAUAAUAUCCAUUCACAUGACUUGCUCAAGAGUCCGAAUAAGAAAAGAAAAUUAAGGUCUCAGAACAAGUUUCAUUAAGAUGCAACUUAUAAGAAAUUGAUUGAUAAAUUUAGUAGUUGCGGAGUUGGGCCAACAAAAAUAUCAGGCAUUAUAAAUACUGCUAGUGGUAGUGUUACAGAUGUCAUGACACCCCAACAAUAUUCUGAAGAGUUAAGAAUUAAGAGAAGAUAUUCAGAAUCAAGAGAAAAAAUAACAUCGGCAAGGAGUGUAUAAUUAAUGUAGUGCAGAUUAUUUUUAGAGAGGAAAGCAAGAUAUUCUGAAUUUUAGUAUGCCAUUCAACUUGACGAACAUGGCUGUACGUAGAAGUAUUUUCUGGUGUUAUGCCAGAGCGAGAAAAAUUUUAUAAGAAAAUUUCUAAUGUGAUAGUAUUAAUCGGGACUAAUACAAUUUAUUGUAGGAAUGGAGUCUUCUCAAAGAAGUGAAAGUACGAAUUCGUUUUUUGAUGGUUAUGUCAAUAGCAAUACUCCUUUGUCUAUAUAUAUUGACACGUAUGAAAAAGAAAUUACUGGCCAUCGUGAUAGAAAAGAGAUAGCGGAUUGGAUUAAUUAGAACACUGGCAAUGCAUGCCUUGGCAUCUCAGUUAGCUGUAUAUUCAUCAUCUCAUCACGAAAGGGCAGCUAUUUUGAGCGGAUGCGGAUCAAGCAAUAUUAGUUUUACUGGGGGUAAUCGCAUGACUCUCCUAGCCGUUCCACAGGGAGCUAUUUUAUCACUGAAUAGCUCUAAUGACCCAUCACCAAUAGCUUUUGUUUAAGCUCUUCUACCUUUUUUUCUGAUUCAUCCCAUAUCUAUGUCAAGUUCACGUAGCAUCACUCAUGGGGCGCACUACAAUUCCUUGUUGAAAUAUUCACGAACAGGAAGUAUGUAUUAAUAGCAAUGAGUGAUGCUAUUGUUCCUCUGGCAAGUGGUAUAGAAGAGCUUUUGCGCCAUGUUUCUUCACUGAAGAGUUUUGGUGUUCAUUUAAUAAUCAAAAUUGUCAAUAAGAUUUCCUUAAUAGGGGACUCUAGGCUUACUGUGCCCUCAGAAAAAGUCGAUGGGAGUACUUCAAUGAAGAACGCACCUGGUAUGCUUGAAAGCUAAAGUUUAUAAUCUAUUAUGUCUUAUUCUUCAUUACAAUUAAUAAAUCAUCGAUCUUUCAUACGCAAGUAUGGUAAUUUAUGGGGGUUCUACUGUAUUAGACUAUUAGGUGUUGUAUUAGAUGCUGAAUUUCUUAUCUCAGUUAUUAUUUAAUAAGCAUGUAGGAUAAAUUAUUGUCGAUGAAGGUGAUGCAAAAAAGAUGUAUACCGGGUCAUUUUAUAAUUGUUUAGUAAUUUACCCUAGAAGUCCACGAGCUACUCGGUUGUUAAUUAAACUUUGUUUUUACAUGCUCAUCGUUUAGUAAUUUACCCUAGAAGUCCAUGAGCUAAUCAGUUUGUUAAUUAAACUUUGUUUUUACAUGCUCAUCGUUUAGUACUUGAUGAUUGUCAUUUAUUUGGGAAUUGAAUAAUGAAUUAAUAUUUAUAUACACAAAUAGGUUCAUAUCUAUUAAUCGGCUCUAGUUUAACUAUCAGGUUUUAUAAUUGUAAACACUACGCCAUAAAAGGCCUAUCGCAACGCGACCUUUGUAAAUGUUGCUAAAAAAUGUUACCUUAGCUACACUACUUUCACCCUUCCGCAACAUAAUAUUUUUCAUGUUAGCUUAGCCAAAAAGGGGAUGUUGCCUUUGUUAGAAAGUGUUUAAGGGUGCAACAUGGAGACAAAUAUGUUAGCUUAAGCUAUUAAAAUGUGAAAAUAAUAUUUUAACUUAAAAUUAAAGAAAAAAGUAAUUACUUGUAUUAAAAAUAAAAAUAGAAGUUAUGUAAUAAUAUAAACUAAAAAUAUAAAAAAUUAUAUAAAAUAUUAAAUAAUUUAAUAGGUGAAUGAUUUUAUUUUAAAUAAUAAAUAUAUGUUUAUUUAUUUAAAAAGUAAAAUAAAAUGUAAACAAAAAAAUAAAAUAUAAACUAAAUAUAUGUAUAUAUGUUUAUUUGAACAAGCGGGCGUGGUUCCCGGUGAAAUCAGACAAGCAGCGGGACUUUGUUUCACUAACACCCCGCCCCAUUUUUUCACUUCCUUUUCCACUCACACUCAGUCAUCUCUCAUUUUCCACACAGUCCUCUCUCGCUCUUCACCCCCACAUCUCGUCUCUCUCUCUCUCUUUUCACCCCCACAGUCGCCUCUCUCUCUUUUCACCGUGUCUCUCUCGUCGCUCUGGUCUCUCUGGUCUCUCAUCAGCACAUCUCUCUCAUCUCAGGUUUGGAUUUCAAGUUAGGGCAUGGUUUGAGGGCUCGAUGCUUUGAUACUCCUAACUAGGGGUUUCUCUCUUUAAAUCAGGGCUUCAUUUCUUUAUUUUCUUCCAUUUACAGGUCUUUCUUCUUUUAAACUACAUCUAAUCGUACUUUAUCUUUGAUUUCAGGUAUUUUCAGCGGAGGCUUUGCAUUUGGAAUUAGGUAUGGUGGCUUUGAUUUAAUUUUUUUCAUUUGUAUAUAGUGGGGGCUGUUAAUCUAACUUUAUUUUCUAUUUUCAGGGCUUCUUCGGUUGAUUUUAAGGAUUUCAUUUAAAGGAUUUAAAAUUAGGGUUUCAGUUUAAAGAUUUUGCUACAGGUAUCUCCCUCUCUGCUUCAACAUUUUUGAGUUUUUGGGUUUGUUUUUGUUGUUAUUUGUUUUUAUUAGGGAAGUUAUCUGAUUUUUGUUUUUAUUAGGGGUUUGGAAUUGCAUUUUAUGAAUCUUUGUUGUUUUCAUUUUGUGGCAUUUGUUAUUUGUUGCAUUUUGUAGUUAAUAUUUGUUACUAGUUAACAUUUGAUUUAUAUUUUGUGGUAAGUGUAUGUGUCCAGGACUUGUUAUUAAAUAUUUAUGCUUGAAAUAGGUUGUUCUGGUGACCAGUUAUGACUCUGUUUUGUGGUUUCUAUAUGUAUGCUCUGUUUAUAACUUAAAAAAUUUGACAAUUAAGAGUAGCUGGUGUUGAUUCUCUGUUGAACAUUUGUAUAUUUUUGUGCUCUGCUGCCAUACAUGUAAGAUUCCAUUGUAGAUAUUGUGAGCUAGUUGGUUAGAUGCCAUAACAUAUUAUCUUGGCUCAUAAACUCUAUGUAUACUCUAUAUAUAACUUAAGGGAAUUGCGAUAAAUUUCUAUGUAUGACUUACCUGAUUAAAAGAAUAUUGUUGUUAAUGAUUUGUAUGAUUAAUAAUAUGCAUGUGUUUGGUCUUAUAUUUGAAAGUGAAACUAUAAAUUAUGACAUAUAUGUAGAAUUAAAAGUAGAAUUGCAAAUUUUUUUGGAUAAAAUGUUGCAGUAGCCUAUUUAAAUGUUGCAAAACUUGUAUUUCAAAACUGUUGCAGUAUAGGAAAAAUAUGUUGCCAAUUUAGCUGCUGCCACCUGGCAACUUGAUGGCCCCCACGUGGGCCCCACAGUGGCCCCCACGUGGGCCCCACAAUGGCCCCCACGUGGGCCCCACUUUUUUAAAAAAAUAAAAUUACUCUAAGGUAACAUAAUUUUUUGUUGGAGUAGGAGAAUAAAAUGUUAGAUUAAACACUCUUUGCUAACAUAUCUCGGUUGUUGCUGUAGGCAAACGAUAUGUUGCCUUAGACCCCCUAAGGCAACGGCAAAAAUCCUAUCAUAAAAUAAAUGUUGCCUUAGCCCUUUUAUGGGCCUUUAGCAACAUAUUGACCCCAUUCUGCAACAAUUUUUUUAUGUUAGAUAAGGCCUUUUAUGGUGUAGUGAAACUCGAUGCGGCUAGCUUGAGUAAACUCGACGCGGCUAGAUUAGUAAAUUCGACUUGACUUACACAAGAAGUGAGCGGGAGUCGAAUAAUAUAUAUAUUCGAGAAAACAAAGGAUAAACACAUAACUUGGAUUAUCUAAUAACGCUUAACUCGACUCACACUUAUUUAUUGUGCUAGCAAUGCAAACUUGGACUCUAACUAAUAGGGUUAGUUAUCACUAGGUCACUUUUUACACCAGAUAAUAUCAAGUGAUCACUCGAAAAUUUUUGGGCUCAUUUCAAUCACUAAAGUUAUAAAAAAUAUUAAAUAUUUACCUCUAAUAUAUUUUCGAGAAGUAAACUUUAUUUUUCACUGAAUUCCAUACAUUUUUCUUGUAUGUUAGUAUAGUCAAAUGAAAGGUUAUGAAUUUCAGUAUUUAUGAUAAUAUAUUCAGAUUUUAAAAAAUUUAUUUUCUAUUUAUUUUUAAUUUUACAAUUUUUUUUGUUUAACUUAAAUCAAAUAAAUAAGUACCCCAUCCGUGCUUUUACAUAUAAUCAAGCUCUCAUGGACCACAGAUGGGUUGAUGCCAUGAAUAAAGAGCUUCAUGCUCUAGAAACAAACAAUACCUGGCAAGUAGUUUCACCUCCCCCAAAUAAAAAGGUCGUUGGUUGUAAGUGGGAUUAUAAGGUAAAAUACUUGUUAGAUGGCUCUUUAGACAAAUUCAAGGCAUGCCUCGUUGCUAAGAGAUACACAUAGAUUGAAGGGCAGGAUUAUCAUAAUACCUUAUCACCUGUAGCUAAGAUGGCUACAGUUCAGACUGUCCUGGCAUUAGCCACUGUCAAACAUUGGGACAUACACCAGUUGGAGGUCAAUAAUGCGUUCCAUCAUGGUGAAUUAUCUGAAGAAGUUUAUAUGGAACUUCCUCAAGGUCACCCUGUUCAUGGUUCUGGUCUUGUUUGCCGCUUAAUCAAGUCUAUAUAUAGUUUGAAGGAAGCAUCACAGUUAUGGUUUGAGAAACUUGCUUCAGUUUUGCUUGACCUUGGGUUCACUCAAAAUAGUUGCAUAAUACUUUUUAUUUGUCAACAAAACAGAUGUUGUUUUUAUAGUUGCCCUACUUUAUGUCGGUGACACAUAUACUUCUCACUGGUAACAGUAGUGAGUUUAUUUCUCAUGUCAAAUCUGUUUACCAUUCUACUUUCACCAUCAAAGAUUUGGGCUUAGCCAAGUACUAUCUUGGUCAUGAGAUACACAGAACUACAGAAGGUCUGUAUUUUCACCAGCACAAGUUCGUACAUGAUAUUCUUCUCGAAGCAGGUUUGGAACAUUGUAAUCCCUUGUCUUUGCCUGUUGAUCACACCAUUAAACUUUCACCCACUGAUGGUGAACUUUUAUCUGAACCCACCAUUUAUCAAAAGUUUGUGGGGAAGUUGCUUUACCUAACCGUUCAAGGCCUGACAUUACAUAUGUUGUACAUCAUUUGAGCCACUUUUUGCAAAAUCCUCGUGUACCUCAUAUGUUGGCAAUGCAAUGUGUUUUACGUUACUUAAAAGGUACACCCUACCAAGGCUUGUUCUACUCUGCAAAUACUACCCUCAAACUUCAGGCGUAUUGUGACAGUGACUGGGGGUCUACAUUGGAUUCUUCUGGUAUGCUGACAAGCAUCACUAGCAUGUGUUUUACUUUGGGAUCUUCUUUUGUUAACUGGCUUUCCACCAAGCAGAAGGUCGUUUCUCGAUCCACAGCUGUGAUUGAACUCGGGGCUGUUGUAGAUACUGCAUGUGAGGUUUCUUGGUUCAAUCUGCUGUAAGGUGAACUCCAAGUACCUCAGUCUUUGCAUGUUGUAAUUCAUAGUGAUAACCAGGCCGCAUUAGAUAUUGCUGCCAACCCGGUUUUUCAUCCUCGUUAUCUUCCUCGUGCAUCUCAGCUGGCUAAUAUUUUCACAAAAUGCUUGGGGCGAUCAGCUCAUUGGCAUGUAUUAUCUAGAUUGAAUGUUUCACAUCCACCUUCAAUCUGAGGGGGCUACUACACUGCUUAUCACCAGAACUCCACUAUCUCUUAUCAAGGCUACUUAUCAUAACCGUUUUAUAACAGAAUUCUGUAUAUAGUGCGGAUAGCUUGUAGUUGUUUCUCCAAUCUUCUCUAUAACAAACAUUUUUCUCUCUUCAAUAAUGUGAAUAUGUUAAAGUCAAUACUAGUCCCAAGUAACCCCAAAGUCUAAGAUAGAGCUACCAAUUUUUUGGUUUCUAGUUAUGUAGUCCAGCAGUAUAAUAAAGGCAACUACAAGUUUCUGGUUGUAUAGUUUAUGGUUGAACUAUUAUAUGAUUAUACAAUUCAACGGCUUAGAUUAUGUCUGGUAUAUAUAUUGUAAGGUGUAUUUGGGCCUGUUAAACAGCCAUCAAUCGGCGGAAUGCGAUAUAUGGUUACAUUUAUUGUUAAAGCAAUGUUUGCUUUAAAGAUUUAAUCGAAGGAGAGUCGACCCACAAAAUCAAGUGCUUACGUAUAGACAAUGGAGGAGAGUAUAGCUCAAAGGAGUUUAGUCAAUAUCUACGAGCUAAUAAAAUCCGUCAUCAAUUUACAUGUGCAAACACACCCCAGCAAAACGGUGUUGCAGAGAGGAAAAAUCGACAUCUUGCUGAAAUAUGUCGAAGUAUGUUACAUGCUAAUAACGUGCCUGGAAAAUAUAGGGCUGAAGCUAUAACUACGGCAUCUCUUGUCAUUAACAAGCUUCCUCAACCAAGGCUGGAUUUCGUCACGCCUUUUGAAAAAUUAUGGACAAAGAAACCUGCUGUAAGUUAUCUUCGGGUGUUUGGUUGUGUUUGCUAUGUAUUUGUUCUUGAUCAUUUACGUAGCAAGAUUGAUAGGAAAGCAGUCAGAUGUAUCUUUGUGAAAUACGACAAUCAACGAAAAGGAUGGAAGUGUUGUGAUCCAACAACCGGAAGAUGUUACACAUCACGUAAUGUGGUUUUUGAUGAAGCAUCUUCGUGGUGGACUUCAGAGAAAGAAAUAGCGCCUAUCACUGAAGAAUUUGAGAAAAAGAUGGAACAAAAGAUGAGUGAGCAUAUUGUUCAAAUUUUUCCAAGUUCAGAUGGAGAUAUACGUAAUGAUGAUGAGCCAAACGUCACAAAAAAUCCUUGUAAAUCUGGUAUGUAUUAACAACCAGAUGAAAGCUAUAAUUCUGGUGAAGAAUCAGCUCCAUAACGAAGGUCAACAACAACUCGGAGGGCAAAUGUUAGAUAUGCUAAUGCAGCAAUAAUCGAAGAAAUAGAACCUGAGACGUUCGAAGAAGCAUCACAAAAAUCAAAAUGGAUAACAUCUAUGAAAGAUGAGAUCAAUUCCCUUCAAGAGAAUCAAACUUGGGAAUUAGUGUCAAAGCCACACGAUGUGAAACCUAUAUUCUGCAAAUAGGUUAACAAAAUAAAGCGCCGUCCAGAUGGGUCGGUUGAGAGACAUAAGGCUCGACUAGUAGCUUGUGGCUUCUCUCAGCAGUACGGACUAGACUACGAUGAAACGUUUAGUCCGGUGGCAAAACUCACAACUGUAAGAGUCUUGCUUGCAUUGGCGGCUAACAAAAAUUGGAAGUUGUGGCAAAUGGAUGUGAAGAAUCCCUUUUUAAAUGGAGAGUUGGACCGAGUGAUUUACAUGAAUCAACCAAGUGGUUUCGAAAGUGUAACUCAUCCUAAUUUUGUUUGCAAACUCAGAAAAGCGCUUUACGGAUUAAAGUAGGCACCAUGUGCGUGGUACGGGAAGAUAGAUGAGUUUUUAAGCCUACGUGGUUAUGUGAUGACACAGUCAGAUUCUAGUUUAUUUGUUAAAAUAAGAGAAGGGAAGUUGGCAGUGUUGUUGGUAUACGUAGAUGAUUUAAUCAUUACAGGAGAUGACAUCAAAGAAAUUUUUCAAAUAAAGAAAAAUUUAUCAGUCCAUUUUCAGAUGAAAAAACUAGGAGAGCUCAAGCACUUCUUGAGAUUAGAGGUUGAUCAUACUGAAAAUGGGUUGUUUCUUUGUCAACAAAAGUAUGCUACAGACUUACUAAAAAGGUUUGGCAUGCUUGAAUGUAAGCCAAUAUCAACACCCAUGGAACCAAAUGCGAAAUUAUGUGCUAAUGAAGGAAAAGAUUUGCAAGAUUCAUCAAUGUAUCGACAAAUAGUAGGUAGUCUAAUCUACUUGACUAUAACCCGACCUGAUAUAUCAUAUUCAGUUGGUGUGAUAAGUCGAUACAUGCAAAAUCGAAUGAAGUCUCACUUAGAAGCUGUUCGAAGAGUACUCAGAUAUAUAAAAGGUACUGUAAGUUAUGGUCUGAUGUACAGGAAGGGUGAAGAUUGUAGUGUGCUUGGAUAUUGUGAUGCUGACUACGCAGGAGAUCAUGAUACUUGUAGGUCAACUACAGGGUAUAUGUUUAUGCUUGAAUCUAGGGCAGUUUCUUGGUGUAGUAAGAGACAACCAACAGUGUCUCUGUCAACAACAGAUGCCGAAUAUCGGGCAGCUGCAAUGGCAUCUCAAGAGAGCACAUGGCUGAUCCAACUAAUGCAAGAUUUGCAUCAGCCAGUAGACGCGGAAAUUCCACUCCUUUGUGAUAAUCAAUCAGCAAUUCGUUUGGCUGAAAAUCCAAUGUUUCAUGCAAGGACAAAAACAUGUUAAAGUACAUUAUCAUUUUCUUCGAGAAGAAGUUUUGCAAGGAGAGAUUGCAAUGAGACAUAUUGCGACACGUGAACAAGUUGCAGAUAUGUUUACCAAAAGCUUAAGUCCAGGAAAGUAUGAGAAGUUUCGCUGCCAACUGGGAGUUGUUCAGAGAAUGGGAACUAAAACAUUGAUGGAGAGUGUUAAAGUCAAUACUAGUCCCAAGUAACCCAAAAGUCUAAGUUACAGCUACCAAUUUUUUGUUUUUUAGUUAUGUAGUCCAGCAGUAUAAUAAAGGCAACUACUAGUUUCUGGUCGGAUAGUUUCUGAUUGAAUUAGUAUAUGAUUAUACAAUUCAAUGGCUUAGAUUAUGUCUGGUAUAUAUAUUGUAAGGUGUAGAUGAUUUGCUGGAACCUAUAAAUAUCCUUUGUAUCUGAGUUUAUUAAUAUAACAAGUAACAGUUUGUUUCUUAAGUCUAGAGAGAAAAGAUCAGUUCAUACUUGUUAGUGUAACUAGUGCGUUCUUAUUCUAAAGAGAGAAGAGUGAAUGCAGAGAGUGUUUUCUACAGAAUAUACCUGUGUUGUGUUAGUGUACUGAAGCUCAGUUUCAAGCUUUAAUGGCGUUUAUAACAACUUAAGAGUGAUAGAAUCUAAACAAGCCAUUUUAUGAGCAUGAUUAUCUCCCAAGACAGUCCGCAGUUGUGAUUUAGCACGCAACACAAAGAGAUGCAAUAACAAUAUGACUAGUGAGUGAGACUUGAGAUUUAGACCUGCAAUAUCACUUUAUACCCAAAGUUGAGACUCAUGUCUAACACUAAAAUUUUCUGUAAACAUAUUAAUUAUUUUGAUAUAGGGGUUAUUAGAUUUUAAUAUUGGUCCCUACUUGAUACCCAAAUAUCUUAUGAAUUACUCCCUCAAUCUCAUAUUAUGUGUCCAAUUUUGACUAUUAGAUGAUCAAUUUAACUAAACUUUGACCAUUAACUAAACAAAAUUUAUUAAUUAUUUUAAAAUUUUAAAAAUUGGAUUUUGAAGGGGAUUAGAUAUAUUUUUUAAUAAAGUAAGUUUUCAAUCUUUUGAAGUCGGAUAAUAUCUGUAAUUUGUGUUCAAAGUAUAGUCAAUUUGACUCUUCAAUAGUCAAAACAAAACACAUAAUAUGAGAUGGAGGGAGUAAAAAAAUUUAUCACCUUAGAGAAUAUUAAUUUAUAGGAUUUCACUAUAUUAGAUGUUGAAUUUCUUAUUUUAGUUAUUACUCCCGAUGUCCAAGAGAGUCGCUUUAACUCUUUACACGUAAUAUGAGAUGUAAGAAGACAUAUUUUUCAUAUUAUUUUUCAAAAAAAUUUUUUGUGAAUAAAAAUAUAGAUGUUAAAUUUUUAUUUAGAAAAUGAAACUUUGAAAAAUAAUAUAUAGAUAUAUGAUGUGUUUUUUACACCUAUGGGAUCGAUGGAAUAUUUAGUAAGCAAGUAGGGUUAAUAAUCGUCGUCGAAGGUGGUGCAAACAAUUAUGAAUGCCGAGUCAUUUUGUAUUUGUUUAGUAAUUUAUGGUAGAAGUCCACGGGCUAAGGGGUUGUUAAACUUUAAUUUUACAUGCUCAUCUUUUAGUAUACAACUAGUGAAAAAAGCCGCGCUUCACGGCGGCGUGAUAAAUUUUGAUAUGAAUCCGUAUUAUAAUAUUAUAAAUAUUAUUUUGAGUCAUCUUCCCGUUAAACAUAUCACAAAUAAAAAAUGUUAUAAUUGACGUAAAAAUUUGUUUAAGUGGUCAUCCUAUCAAACAUAAUACUAAUAAUAAAAUUAGUUCGAACCCCCUUCCGUCAAAGACAAUAUUAAUCCAUAAUUAUUAUUUAUAUGAUAAAAUUAAAUAUUAUAAUUUAGAUCGAAAUUAGUUUGAGCUUCUCUCUUAUCAAACACAAUACUAAUAACAAAACUUUAUAAUUUAAAUAUUAGUUAGAGUCUCUUUACUGUCAAACACAAUACUAAUAAAAAUUAUUCUAAUUAUAAUAAAAUUAAAGAUUAUAAUUGGAUAAAAAAUAUUUUGAACUGUGACAAAAAAAAUAUUAUAACAUAGAUAAAAAAUUAUUUUAGCCACUUUCCCGUCAAAAAUAAUACUCUUAGAAAAAAUUAUUAUUAUUUAGAUAAAAAUUAGUAUGGGCCGCCUCCCGUGCCCGUCAAAUACAAUACUAAUCGAGAAUCAUUUUACAUUAUCAUAAAAUCAAUAUAUGAUUCCUAUUUUUUAUAUCCUAUUUUUCUUUAUUUGUUAUUUUUAUUUUAUGAUUUCUAUUUAUUUGUUAAAAAUAUUAUUCGUUUAUGGUUCUUUUUUUUUUUUGCUAUUAGUUUUUUUUAUGAUUAUUAUCUUUAUAAUCUUUUAUUUCUAUUCAGAAAUUUAAGAAAAUCCGCGAUCUGAGGGGAAAUUGAAAGAGAUAAUUAAUGAAAAUGAUGAAAUUAGACGCAUGGAGGUUGUUAAUUACAUGUUCGUACCUCGCUUCGACAUCUUGAUCGAUCCGUUAUCUCUCUCGGGAUCUCUCCCUGAGGCGCCGUUGAUGAGGGGAGGAGGGGUUUAUAUGGAGAUCGGGCUUGUGUAGGUUUUAAGUGAAUAUUACUUCGUCAAUAAAACGACAUCGUCAGGUUCACUUUCUUGGGAGGGAAUUUGGUCGCCGCCGGUGCUCAAUAAAUAAAUUAAAUUAUAAAUUUUUUUAUUUGAAAUUUAAGAAAAUUAUUAGAAUAAAUCGGAAAUAUAAAUAGUAUUUAUUCUAUGAUUGUUAGUUUGAAUAAAUAUAAUCCUAUUAAUUCCUUUUGGGAUACGUAAAUAAGAAAAAAACUGAAUUAUAAAUAAAUAUUCGAUAGAGAUGAGAAGAUUGCAAUCACUACUUUUUGAAAAAAAAUUACAAAAAAAAUUAUAAAUUUAUAACUUUUGAGAAUAAGAAUCGUACUCUUUUUAAUAAUUUUUAUAUUAAUAUAUAAUUAACAAUAAGAAUUGUAUUACCCUUAUGAUUCCUGAAUUGGAAAAAGAAUUGUAUUACAUUUGGAACUCAAUAAGAAAAGAAUUGUAUGACCUUUAGAAUUCUUAAACAUGAUUUUUUGAAUUAUAACUAUAUUUUUCUCCGAAAUUUAAGAAAAAUCAGAAGACUGAAUCGAGCUAUUUUAGAGACGCCCGCAUUCUCCUUUAUAUACUUUAGAAUUCAAUACGAAAUACUAAAUAAGAAAAGAAUUGUAUCAUCUUUAGAAUUCAAUAUGAAAAGAAUUGUAUUACUUUUAGAAUUCUUGAACAUGAUUUUUUGAAUUAUAAUUAUAGUUUCUAUCCGAAAUUUAAGAAAAAUUAGAAGACUGAAUCGAGCAAUUCUAGAGACGCCUGCAUCCUCCUUUAUAUAUAUAUAUUGAUGAUCGUCAUUCAUUUGAAAAUUAUAUAAUAAAUUAAUAUUUAUAUACACAAGUAGGCUAGUAGUACUUGUAUUAAUCUGCUGGCUCCAUCAGUUCAGCUAUCAUUUUCUUAAUUGUACGUCAAAGGGGAAUAACAGUUAACAAUUAUAGAGAAUCUGAUGUGCAAAUACGCAAGUCACUUCAUCAUUAUUUAGUACUUAGUUGUACAACUAUGAGCUGAUUAGGGCUGUUCACGAACCGAGCCGAGCCGAGUUUUGACCGAGUCGAGCCGAGCUUUAAAUUUUUUCUUAUCGAACCGAGCCCACCCGAGCUUUCUUAUCGAACAAAAAAGUGUGUUCGAGCUCGAGCUCGAUAACUAACGAGCCGAACACGAGGUUGUUCACGAACAAAUACGAGCCGAGUCGAGCCGAGCCGAGUCGAGCUAGAGAAAAAUAAGGCCAAACCGCUACUUUACUCUUAAAAUAGCAAGCCAAAUAAAAUUUUUAGUAUGUUUUGAUGGUACCAUAUUAUAGUUGAUAUUCUCAUGAUCGAUUUGAUAUAUUAUAUGUUGAAUUCGGCGUUCAAUAACAUAUAUAUAUUACGAAAUUAUUAUGAAAAUAUUCUUUUUUUUCGAGCUUUAACGAGCCGAGCUCGAGCCGAACAUACUAAAAGCUCGGCUUGAGCUCGUUUUCUUAACGAACAAUUUUUUGUGUUCGAGCUCGAGCUCGUUAACUUAACGAGCCGAGCCGAACGAGCUCUUAACAAGCCGAGCUCGAGCUUGUUCGCGAACAGCUCGGUUCGUUAAACAGCUCUAGAGCUGAUCGGUUGUUGAACUUUGUUUUCACAUGCUCCUAAAUUAACAUAUAAUGAUUGUCAUUGUUUAGUAAUCUGCAGGCUUCAUGCAGCUCAACUCCUUUAUGAAGAGUUGUUUGCUUUCUGCAGAAGAGUAACAAAUUUCAAUGGCUGAAGCAAUUGUGUCUAUUGUUGUGGGAAGGCUCACUGAUUUGUUGAUUGAAAAAGCUCAUAUCCUUCAUGAAGUGAGAGAUGAAAUUGAAGUCGCCGUAGCUGGGCUCAUGCGGAUGAAAACAUUCUUACCAGAUGCUGAUUCAAGGAUCGAUGUAGAAAGAAUCCGGAUUUUGCUCCGCGAUGUACGAGAGCUUGCCUAUGAUGCUGAACAUGCUGUCGAAAGUUUUGUUAUCAAAGCCUCAUCUACUAAAAAAUCAUUUCAGUGGAUGAACAGAGGCAUGUUUUCAAGAAAGAUAAAAAAUAUACAAAAAAAGAUGUCCAUCUUCUUCGAUUUAUUUUCUGAUUAUAAUAUCAGACCAACUUCUGAAUCAUCAACUUCCUCCAACAGAGAAUCGGGAAAACUAAAGCGAUUUCACUCUUUCACUACUCCUGAACCAGAGAUAUUUGUUGGAUAUCAUAAAGACGUUGAACGCUUGGUGCGACGUUUGGUGAAUGAAGCUGAUGAUUCUUACCCACUUAUAUCUAUUUGUGGAAUGGGGGGUCUGGGAAAGACCACUCUCGCUCAAAAGAUAUACAAUCACUCUGCCAUCAAGACUCACUUUGCUGGUUUAGCAUGGGUAACAAUCUCGCAAAAGUGGCAAACAGAUCGUGUGUUGCAAAGAAUUCUCAUAUGUCUCGUCCCUGAGAACAAAGAGUCUAUCCUUAAUAUGGACACUGACAAGCUAGUGGAGUAUAUGCUACAAAUCCAGGAAAGGAAGAAAUGUUUGAUAGUUCUCGAUGAUAUAUGGUCACCUCAUGCUUGGGAUGCAUUAAAAGCUGCAUUUCCAGCCGGGAAGUCCAUGAGCAAAUUAAUGCUUACAAGCCGUAAUGCUGAGGUUGCUGAGCAUGUAAAUUUAAACGGAUUCAUUCACAAACCAAAAAUUUUAAGUCCGGAACAAAGUUGGGAGCUACUCAAGUUGAAAGCACUUCACACAGGAAACUAUCUAGGUUCAUAUACUUCUUUUGAUCAUAUACUGUUUUUUACCAUAUGUUUUGUCCGGGAACCUUAACCAACCAUAUUUUUUGUUACUUGAGUUCGAUAAGUUUGGUUAGAGAUCUGUCCAAAAAUCUUAAAGAACAUUGUUCUCUCAAACAUUUUGUUCGUGUUCGUUUGAAUUCGGCUCGUUUACAAAUCUAUGUAUAAGAAUUGUAAACGAAUCUAACGGUUCAUUAAGCGUGCUCUUGAGGUUGAGUUAGCAAACUCGAGUUCAAACCAAAUAUUUUAAACAUAUUAGUUAAACGACUAAAUUAUAAAUUAUCUUGGCUUGUCUGUGUGGGUCUAUAUAUAUACACACACAUAUGAUUCAUGUUUCUUGUGUGCUGCAGACAUUACCAGAGAUGUAAAAAGGAUGGAAGAACUGGGAAGGGAAAUGGUUGAACAUUGUGCCGGUCUUCCGCUAGCUAUAGUCAUUUUGGGUGGAAUUUUGGUAACAAAACCGUCGUUGAUAGAGUGGGAGAAGGUAUAUCGUGAUAGUAAAUCAUCCCUAAAGGCGGGGAAAGGACUGGGAGAAGCCUAUCAAAGGGGAAUAGUAAGUGUUUUAGUUUGGAGUUACAAUGAUUUACCCCCUCAGCUGAAGCCAUGCUUUAUGUAUUUAUCUAAGUUUGGUGAAGAUAAAUGGAUAGAAUCACAGACUUUGUAUCAGCUAUGGAUCGCUGAAGGAAUGGUACUCUCGAGUGACAAAAGAGAAGGAGAAACAAUGAUUCAAGUUGCCGAAUCAUACAUGGGAGAACUAGUCCACAGGAGUAUGGUUCAAGUAAGAUUUAACAACGUGGAAUCAUCUCUUACAAAGUUUGAAGAUUUUUCUCUGCACGACCUUAUGAGAGACAUGUCUUUAAUACAAGCAAAAGCAGAAGAUUUUAUUGAAGAUAUACAUUUCCAAAGUGGAAAUGAGCUUCAUCUCAAAUCUACUGCAGAUUCAAGGUCAGCUUCCACUCGACUUGUGAUUCAUUUGGAUGAGGAAUAUUCUAGCAAAAAAGCUAAUUACUACUUUUCUAAGAAAGGCAAUGAAAAAUGCUAUCGAUCAAUGUUAUUCUUUGGUGACUUUGGUCCGAGAAGUCUGCCACGGGCAUUAAUGGGGUCACAAGUUGCCAAUUUUAGGUUCCUAAAAGUGCUUUCUGUGGAGAAUUAUACCAAUUUUUCUGGUGUGUUUUAUCAUAUUAAUUUUGGAAGAGCAUUAGGGUCCCUUGUUUACUUGCGAUAUCUUAGUGUAAGAGGCAGUAAUUUGUUGGUUCUUCCAUCCGUACAAAGGUUGGUGCUGUUACAAACUCUUAAAUUAAAUACCCAUGAGGGUAUAUAUGUUUUACCAUGGUUGUCAAGAGAUGUUCUGGUGAAGCUGGAUUGUUUGCGGCAUCUGUUUUUGCCUAAAUUUAAAGUUGACGUUUUGAGAAGGAAAUCGAAAUUUCGGUUGAAUGGGUUGUGCAAGUUAGAGACACUGGAGAACUUUGACACAGCUUGGUGCGAGGUUAAUGAUCUACGUGAACUAAUCAAUCUUCGGAAACUAAGGCUAACAGUGGCAGGUAGCUGUGAUAUUCUGGAAGAAGUGAUGAAAAACUUGGGUGAUAUAGCCUCCUCACCAUCUUCAUGUUUGAGGUACUUGGGUGUUUGUAUUGCUUAUUGUGAUAUCGAGCUGAACAAUGGUCUUACUAUCUUGAAACAAUUGGUAUAUGGUGAAAAUUUGAAUCUUAGAGAAUUGAAAAUAUAUGGUCGUAUCCAAGAGGUGGGUCUAAUAUUUCCGCUGCAUGUAUCUACAUCAAUUUGUAUUACAAGAUUAGAUUUAUCGAGAUCAAACCUGGAAGAAGACCCAAUGCCAAUACUGGAAAUGCUGCCAAUGUUGGGUUUUCUCUAUAUGUUUACGAAUACAUUUAUGGGGAAGGAGAUGGUGUGCUCCGCAACCGGUUUUCCUAAACUGACCGAUCUUUAUUUGGACAGCUUCCCUAACCUUGAAAAAUGGAGGGUGGAGAAAGGAAGCAUGCCCAUUCUUUCAUGGUUGCUUAUUCAAAGAUGUAACAAUUUGGAGGAACUUCCACAAGGCCUGGUGUUCAUCAAGUCCCUUCAACUGCUACAAAUAAUCAAAAUGCCUCAAGAUUUCAAUGAUAGGCUUAUAAGAGAUGAUGGUGAAGAGGGACCCGAUUUUCACAAAAUUUCUCAUGUCCGUAGACUCAAUAUCGACGGUCAGGAAUACAAUUGAAUGUUCUUGUGUAAGUUUGUUAGUCAUAGAACUUUUUGUUUUGGUCCGGGAGAACAUAUUGCUUCAUAAGCAAAUGACCAAAAAAGUCUUGUCCAUAUUUUAAAAAGUUAAUAAAACUUUUAACUUUUUCAUUUUAAAUCAGUAAUUUAAUAUGAUUGAUUUAUUUUUAUCAAAAUUAAUACUUUAACUAUUGUUAAAUAAUUAAUAUAUGAAUUCAAGUGAAAUUAUAUUUUAUUUAGUAAUCAAUUUUAUAAACUAGUAUGCUAAUCUAAUUAUAACAGAGAAUCGGGAAAGCUAAAGCGAUUUCCUAAAAGUUGCCAAUUUUAGUUUCCUAAAAGUGUUUUCUGUGGAGAAUUACAGAAAUUUUUCUGGUGCGUUUUCUCUUAUUAAUUUUGGAAGAGCAUUAGGGGCCCUUGUUUACUUGCGAUAUCUCAGUGUAAGAGAGACUAAUUUGUUGGUUUUUCCAUUUCUAAGAAAGUUGGUGCUGCUGCAAACUCUUAAAUUGGAUAUUUUCAACGUGAACUAUGUUUUACCAUGGCUGUCAAGAGAUGUUCUGGUGAAGCUGGAUUGUUUGAGGCAUCUGUAUCUGCCUAAAUUUAAAGUUUACGUUUUGGGAUGGAAAUCGAAAUUUCGGUUUUAUGGGUUGAGCAAGUUAGAGACCCUGGAGAACUUUGAGACUACUUGGUGUGAGGCUAAGGAUCUACGUGAACUAAUCAAUCUAAGGAAACUAACGCUAACAGUGAGAGAUAGCUUUGAUAUUCUGGAAGUAGUGAUGAAAAACUUGGCUGAUCUGGCCUCCUCGCCAUCUUCAUGUCUGAGGUACUUGGGUGUCACUAUUAUUAAUUGUGGAAUCAUGCUGAACAAUGGUCUUACUAUCUUAAAACAAUUGGUACAUGCUGAAAAUUUGAACCUUCGGGAUUUGAAAAUAUAUGGGCGUAUCCCAGAGUUGGGUCUAAUAUUUCCGCUUCAAUAUGUAUCUACAAUUGGUAUUACAAGUUUAACUUUAGCGAGUUCAUGCCUGGAAGAAGACCCAAUGCCAAUACUGGAAAUGCUUCCAAUGUUGGGUGUUCUCCACAUGUUUGGGAGGAAUCCAUAUGUGGGGAAGGAGAUGGUGUGCUCCGCAACCGGUUUUCCUAAACUCACCGUUCUUUAUUUCGUCGGCUUGCCUAACCUUGAAAAAUGGAGGGUGGAGAAAGGAAGCAUGCCCAUGCUUUCAUAUUUGUGUAUUGGAAAAUGUAAGAAAUUGGAGGAGCUUCCACAAGGUCUGAUGUUCCUCAGUUCUCUUGUAGGAAUAUUCCUACAACAAAUGCCUCAAGAUUUCAAUUAUAGGAUCACAAGAGAGGAUGGCGGGGAAGGACCCGACUUUCACAAAAUUUCUCACGUCCCUAGAGUUAGUAUCAACAAUCAAAAUUAUGAUUCUAUGUUUUCCGUAUUCAUGUAAGGUUUUUUCGAUAUUAUGAAAAUCAGUUUUUUGUUUCCCAUACUUGUUAAGUUAUAAUUUACUUUUUAUUAAAACUAGCUUAUAACCCGUGCAGCGGUUAUAAUAUUUGUUAUUUUAUCAUAUAUAGUUUUAAUUUAAUUAAUUUUAUUGUAAAAAUAAAAUUAUGAUAGAAUAAUGUGGUUAAAUAAAUUUUUAUUUAACAGCUGAUAAAUUCUUAAUACGCUAGCGGUUAUAAUAUUUGUUAUUUUAUCAUAUAUAGUUUUAAUUUAAUUAAUUUUAUCGUAAAAAUAAAAUUAUGAUAGAAUAAUGUGGUUAAAUAAAUUAUUAUUUAACAGCUGAAUAAAUUCUUAAUACUUAAGUCCGUCAAAUGACUAAUUAAAAAUUAGGUCAAACAUAUAUUUUGAUGAGAAUGUUAAAUAUAUUUAUUUACAUGUUAUAAUUUAAGGAGAUCUAUAAACCCAUAUAUAAAUCAACCAAUCAACCUCAUAAUAUUUCGUUAGUAAUAAUUAAUAAUAUAGUAUAAAACAUAUUAUAAGUCAAAGAGACGCGUAAUCCCAAAUAUCGAUCCAUUACCUAAUUUUUAAUGUUUUGAUUCGAUAGAUAAUAAAAAAAUAUUAUAACAUAUUAUAAAUUAAUGAGGUCUGUGGGUUGAAUACCAACAGUCUCACCAAACUCGAUUGAUCGACCGACCAACUAACCAAUUGAACUUUUUAUUUUUCGGCUUUCGACUUUAACAGUAUAAUAAUAUAUAGUAUAGUAUAAAUUUAUAAUAUCACUUUUAAUGUGAGACCGUUAGAAUAUUUAAAAAUAAUGUUAAUUAAUUUCGGUUGAAAAAUAUCACCUGUUAUUUAUUAAUAAAUAUAUAUAAUAAUAUUAUGUUUUUAUACAUAUGUCGCUUGUGUUAAUUGUAGAAAAACGAUUUUUUAGUUAGAAAAAAAUAUUUAUCCUGAACUCUAAAUCUUUAAAAUUAAAAAAAAAACAUUUUUUUCAACGGAGAAGUUGUGUUUAGUUUCAAAUUGCAAAAAUACUUUCUUAAAAAUUUUAAAAAGAUUGUAUAUUAUCGAAAAAGAACUCUAAACAUGUGUUAUAUCCUUAAAUUCUAUACUCUCUGGCGCAGAAAAAUAAAUUAUAUUCGAAACAGAUUAUUAAUUUCAACUUAAAGUAGAGAGGUGUUUCGGUGAAGACCCCCGCUUAGUGCACAAUAAAAUAAAUAUACAGUUUGUGAUAUAAUAAGAAUAUAAUAUCUUAGCCAUGUCCUUCUUCACACAGGACUUACCUAAAUAGUUCCUAAUGCAUCUGUGAACUGAGGACUUACCUAAACAGUUCCUAUUAUCACGAAUGCAUCCAUGAACUGAGCUAAUCCUUCAAAACAUAAUGCAACGAACCUCGUAAUCUCUGUAAGCAACGAGACCUAGUCUCAAUUAUUCUAAUAAGUCGUCCCCAAUCAUUCUUAUCUAAUGUCAUAUCACCCGUCCCCAAUCAUUCUUAUCUAAUAUUAUAUCACCCGUGAGAUUCAAAGCUCUCAUGUCCAAACUUAAUUGAUUAGCCCAUGUCCGACGAGGCUGACUUCUCUUUCUCUAGUCAUUCAUUAUUCUUGAGGUGAACAACAGUUAAAAAAAUUCAGAGCCGAGGUAUUCUUACACAGCAAAAUAUCGAUUUAUGAUAAUGUUGGACAGCAGAAAAUGAAAAGGAAGUAAUAUUUCACUAACCAUAUGUGAUAUCCAAUCCCAACAUUGAAAAUUGCUCACUCGAGAGAGACUAUUUUAGUAUCUCAUUCAUUAUUCUCGAAAUGGACAAGUGUUAAAGGAAUCCCGGAGCCACAAAUAUAACAGCAUAACGACAGAAUAUUAAUUUAUGAUAGUACUGGACAGCAGAAAAUCGGAGGAAGUAAUUUUUCACUAGCCAAUAUGUGAUAUAUUUUCAUGCUGCCAACACAACAGAGUACAUUGUUGCCCUCAGGUUGCAACAAAACACAAAACUAGGACACUUCUAACCCUCGACUCCACCCAUUGUUCAAACUUUUUCUUUGUAAUAUUUCUCUUUAUAAUAGAACACUUCUGGUUUUUCUUUUCUUUAUAGUUAAACUACAAUAUAUACAGCGGUUAGGACUGGGAAACUGCUUUCUUCAAGACGCUGAAGGCAACGAGCAUAAGCAGUGAUAUCAUAAUCUUCUUUGAAGCAAGAAUCCGCAAGUUCACCUUCAUGCCAUGGUCUCUCAUGAGCUUCACUGUUGCCCUAAUUACUGAAAUAAGCCAGAAUACAACGGACAAGAACACCACUUUCAUUGUGUCUGCAGGUCCGUUCACACUUCUUGUGCCUCCCGACACCUCGAUGUAGGACUGUUUUUACCAAAAUUUGCGGGUUAAAAGCCAAGCCUAUUUAAUUUCUAUAACAAUGGAGUAUGUGUUUUUAUGUAUGAAUAUUUAGUAGAUCGUAUAGAUAAAUAUCGAAAAGAAAAUCAAAGGCAAGAACACAAACAAUUUUGGUGACGCGGAAAACCCCUUGUAAAAGGUUAAAAACCGCGGGUGGGAAUGUCCCAGCCAAAUAUCCACUAUAAUGAUGUAACAUCAGCUUACAAGUAUGAGAAAUACAUGAUACAAGUACAUAAAUACACAGACGUCGGCUUCAGAAGUAGUUCAUGUCCGUCAGCAAUAUGCACCCGUUGGCAGCAGGUUAACCUUGACGUUGCACCCGUCGGCAGAAUGAUUUCGGGGAGAUGAAGAUGUAGAGCUCCCUUGAUAGAAGAUGAAGAAGCUUAGCUAUCAUAUGUUAAUGUAUGUAUAUGUACGUGUACUGAUUUGUAUGAUCUUAAGCUUGGUUGAUGCUUUAUGAGUGAUAUGGGGUAGAAGAUGAAGUUGUGGGCAUGUAGAAGUGUGUAGAUGAUAUGUAUCAGUUAUGUACCUCUCUUUUUCAUGAGUAUUUAUACCCCCUCAACACUUAUGCACGUUCCUAGGUUGUUUCUCCACGUUCUCCACUUACUCCUAUAGUUUAGGGAUAAAGAAUAACCUCCUCCUAACUCUUAGGAUCGUUACAAGACUUAUUCUUCAUGCUGUUACGUUCAUGUCGAGUACCUUCACGUCAUGUCGAGUAUCUUCACGUCAUGUCUUAGCCAAGACGUCGAGCAUCAGCUUUGUGUGUAGCUUAAAUAUAUCUUUGGAGAAUGAUUAAUUAGCUUGUAAUUUGAUGAUAUAAUCACUCCCCUAACUCCCAUCAAGAUGUGGCUAUAUUGUAGGAUUAUGAUAAGGUAGUUAUUAUCCUUAUCUCCUAUUUUCCCUCCAUGUGCAUGUUGAGUUUCCUAAAUUAGUGUCACUUAUCCAUUCUCCAAUUUGAAUAAUCUCCUAAAAAGGUGGGUAGUUGAGACUUAGUCUCUUGCCCUAUCAGCCUGCACACGUCGUGUCGUCGGUACUUCAUGUCGUGUCAGUACACUUCCCGUCAUGGCCUGACGCCUGUAAAAUCUGGGUACAAACAAUAGCCCCUAAUUUUAUUGGGUGGAGGCAUGCAGCCAAUGAAAUUACUUCUUGUACACUCCGUUUUCCUCAAACCAUGGCAAAUAAGAACACCGAUGCUAUGUUAAAAUACUAACGAUUGCAACAUGUGAUCAUGUCAUGUCGAUUUGUCUUGUUCGCUAUUGUCUUGUAUCGAGUCUCUAUCUCGUUUUGUCGUUAUAAUGUUAUCUCGAGUUGUCAUCGUUGUCUAAAUGAUGAAAACAUCGACGAGUAGCUGCUUUGUUGUCGUCAGUUUCACGUUCUAAGAUGAGAACGCUUUGUAUUCGCUAUAUCGUAGUUACCUGUAGGCUUGGACACAAUUACAAUCAGUCCCGAAGUAUUAACAUGUCAAGUCGUGACGUCGCUUUGCGUCAUAUUCGUAAAGCCCCUUGUAGAUGUCUUCUGACAUGUGUAAGAUGUCGUAUAUAAUCUUAUCAUUGUUAGCUGCAUAUUCUCAGGUGUCCGUGACUUGAAAUUGGUUCAUGUGACCCCUUAAUUGGGAGUGAUUAUGACGUAAUGGAUAGGAGUACCAACACGUGAAGUGUUUUGUAGUAUGUCUUCCGUUCGUAAUAUAUAACUUGUAGACAUGAUGUGUAUCUCGUCAUCAUGACGUGAUAUGUAGAAAUCGUGCCACGUCAGACGUCAAUGCAAUCUGUCAUGACUCGUGUAAGUGAUGACAUGUAGAAAUGUGUAUUGUGAUUUAUGUGUCCGACCAAGGGUCGUGACUUGCGUGAUUUUGUGGAGUUUUCAUCGACAUGUAUGUUAAAUACGUCAAUGUAUUUUAACUUGUAAUAUCCGUAAUUGUAGUCGUUAAAUUUAUUUUUUAUAACGUUGGUGCACGUAGUAUAUGUAUUCGACAAAUAUAUAUAUAUUCAAUGAAUAUAUAAUUUUCAGACGUUGAUGCAUGUAGUAUAUGUAUUCGACAAAUAUUUAAUUUUCAAACGUUGAUGUAUUCGACAAAUAUGUUUAUUUUCAAACGUCGAUGCAUGCAUUCGUAGGCUAGUUAAAAGGCCUUUCCCUCUUGAAACUUAGCUCGUAAUUGUAAUUGUGAUUAUGUAAUGUUUAAAUACAUAAUAUUGAAAUGCGUCAUUAUUCGUGGCGUCGUAAGUUAUUUGUGUAAUGUGUAGUGUUGUCGUCACCAUCAUUCGAUAAUGAUCAACCGUAGUAGGAUAGGUGAUCAGCCCUCCUUGUCUAUUAAUAUGUAUCUAAAAUAUACUCAUGCAAUAUCAUGUCACAAUAAAUAUCAUGAUGAAGACGUCAACUUUAAGCAGUUAAACAUGGACAAUUUAGAAUAACUUGCAUAACGUAUUUCAACACACAUAUCUAUCAGGUAGAGUAGCAAGUCAUGUAAGAAACAAGCACAUGUGUCAUUAUGAUUAGAUCAUCAAUUAUUCAAGCAAACAUUCAUUGGAAGCAUGAAAUAUCAUUUAAAUAGCAUAAGCCCAAGUAAAGAUCGUAAUCAACUUAUUAUCAUAUUGCUAAAGACUAAGAGAAUAAAGAGGAUGAGUUCACUUACAUGUGAUAAAGUUCCAAAAGUAACAUGUUCGAGCCCCUGGGGACUUGUAGUUCGUAAUGUCUUGUUGAAUCAGGUUGAAGUCGUCGGACACUUCCAAAGGCGUCAAUGAUUCAUGUCCCGUCAUGAUGUUGAUUGUCAUGUCAGUUUACGGAUAUGUGCAUAAGUUGAUGAGGUUGUACCCCUUUCUGGGUAUAUGUCUUGUACCUCGUUCGCCUUGUCAUCAAGCUGACCUUAAUUAAGUUUUUUGGACUUGUCGAUAGUCCAUUUUUGAUUCUUUCUUCUAGUUUAUCUUUCGUGGUCAUGUCAUGUCUUUUUACUUCACAUCAUGUUGAACCAGUGAUGUCGAUACCCUUGUGGCGAUUUUAGGACAAGUCCCAAUCAUCUCCUGUUGAGAUAGUAGAUUUGGACUGAAAUCAGCCACAAAAUUAGCAAAAUAUGUGACUCGAUCGUUGUUUGUGACUCAUAGGUGAUAAUGUAUUCGACAUGAUCUGUCAUGUUUCUAAAGUUCAUGUCUAGCUGUCACGUCGAUCAUCAUGUCAAGACUUCAUGUCCAACUGUCACGUUGUUAUUUUUACACUGUCACCAUGUUUGCUAGUCAUUCUGGACACUCGACUUCAUGUAUGAUGUCCCUUUUGAUUUAGUUGUUUGCUUUUCGUGUGAUUAUCAUAAUGCUGUUUGAUUUCCAUUUGACAUGUAUGCGGUUUGAGUUGUCAUCAUUUAACUUGUGUAUGUUCAUGUCGAGGCUGCUACCCAUCGUCUCGUCGUGAUCCCAAGCGAAGGUGUUCAUUCUUUCUGUCAAAAAAUCAAUUAUGUCGGUCUCUCUCUUUGGUGUCACGUCAUGUCCUCUUGUGGUGUUGUUUUUUGUCGUUUAGAUGUCAUCCAUGUCUUGUUGGUCGUGUUGUGUCACGUGUGAUUUACUAGUUCCCGUCAGACGUGAUGAGAUUAGUGUAACUUGUUCAUGUCAAUCUAGUCGUACAUGUCAUGGUCGUUUGUGGUCACUUCAAUUCAACCAACCCGUCGGACAGCCCCAUGUUUGUAACCAGAAAUCUUCUCGCCAUGUCAACCAAAGUGAUGUGAUAUAGAAAAUCAGUGUAUCCAUGACGCCUAUCUCUUGUAGCCCCUUUUGAACCGAUUAAUAUGCGCGUCGACGUGAACUCCAUUGCCAUAGAAAUCAUGUAAGUGCUUCGCUAGUUUCCCACAGACGGCGCCAAUUGUUUUUACCAAAAUUUGCGGGUUAAAAGCCAAGCCUAUUUAAUUUCUAUAACAAUGGAGUAUGUGUUUUUAUGUAUGAAUAUUUAGUAGAUCGUAUAGAUAAAUAUCGAAAAGAAAAUCAAAGGCAAGAACACAAACAAUUUUGGUGACGCGGAAAACCCCUUGUAAAAGGUUAAAAACCGCGGGUGGGAAUGUCCCAGCCAAAUAUCCACUAUAAUGAUGUAACAUCAGCUUACAAGUAUGAGAAAUACAUGAUACAAGUACAUAAAUACGCAGACGUCGGCUUCAGAAGUAGUUCAUGUCCGUCAGCAAUAUGCACCCGUCGGCAGCAGGUUAACCUUGACGUUGCACCCGUCGGCAGAAUGAUUUCGGGGAGAUGAAGAUGUAGAGCUCCCUUGAUAGAAGAUGAAGAAGCUUAGCUAUCAUAUGUUAAUGUAUGUAUAUGUACGUGUACUGAUUUGUAUGAUCUUAAGCUUGGUUGAUGCUUUAUGAGUGAUAUGGGGUAGAAGAUGAAGUUGUGGGCAUGUAGAAGUGUGUAGAUGAUAUGUAUCAGUUAUGUACCUCUCUUUUUCAUGAGUAUUUAUACCCCCUCAACACUUAUGCACGUUCCUAGGUUGUUUCUCCACGUUCUCCACUUACUCCUAUAGUUUAGGGAUAAAGAAUAACCUCCUCCUAACUCUUAGGAUCGUUACAAGACUUAUUCUUCAUGCUGUUACGUUCAUGUCGAGUACCUUCACGUCAUGUCGAGUAUCUUCACGUCAUGUCUUAGCCAAGACGUCGAGCAUCAGCUUUGUGUGUAGCUUAAAUAUAUCUUUGGAGAAUGAUUAAUUAGCUUGUAAUUUGAUGAUAUAAUCACUCCCCUAACUCCCAUCAAGAUGUGGCUAUAUUGUAGGAUUAUGAUAAGGUAGUUAUUAUCCUUAUCUCCUAUUUUCCCUCCAUGUGCAUGUUGAGUUUCCUAAAUUAGUGUCACUUAUCCAUUCUCCAAUUUGAAUAAUCUCCUAAAAAGGUGGGUAGUUGAGACUUAGUCUCUUGCCCUAUCAGCCUGCACACGUCGUGUCGUCGGUACUUCAUGUCGUGUCAGUACACUUCCCGUCAUGUCCUGACGCCUGUAAAAUCUGGGUACAAACAAGGACCAAGCAGCGCCUUGAUUAUCGGUAGUUCCACUAUGAUUGAGGCCAAGUUUCUCGUUCAACCAACAUGAUAAAGUCACAAGCAGCUUUGCAAGCCAUGCAAUCUCAUCAUUGGAGACUGGUCGCUUCAACCAGUCACCCCUGUAUUUUGUACCAGUUUGCUUCUUGUUUCACAACAUUCUAGGACUAAAUAUCUCAUCACGUGGAUGCUGAUUUUCUCUUGUCUCAGGGACAGCAUGCGUGUUCCUUGAAGUAGAGUUACCAAAUAAGCAACCCAUCUGGGCUUUGAUAGAAUCUAAACAAGCCAUAUUGUGAGCAUGAUUAUCUCCCAAGACAGUCUGCAGCUCCGACUCAGCACGCAACACAAAGAGCUGCAAUAACAAUAUAACUAGUGAGUGAGACUUGAAAUUAGAAUGACACAAAUCCAUUCCUAGAAUUUAUAUAGUUCAUACAUAUAUAUUUAAGUACACUAUAUGCUAAAACUGUUGGAAUAAUCUUAAAUUUAAUUAUUAUUAAUAUUUGUUUAGUUAUAUAUUUUGAGGAUUAGUUUUAGAUUGAAGUAGUUGGAUGUUUGUUGUAGAGGUACAAGAAUUAAUACAAAUCAGUUUUAUAUUCUACACUUGGCAUUGGAGCCAGGUUCCGCCGCCAGGCGGUGGUGAAGCCGCCGCUAGUGGUGAAGGCGCAUAGUGAGUGUUUGACGAGAUAGUUUCAGGUAGGCGUUGCAGAAGGAUUGUGGCAAAGCUGCAUCUGCAUGUGUAGUAUGGGAUGCAUGUAUAGUAUGAGGCUGCCAAGAAAGACGAGGCGAUGCCUACUGAAGGCGGAAAAUAAGAUAGAGUGGAAGAAGGUCAUGCAGAACGAGAUGGAUCUUGCGUUUUUUAUCACGGAGUUGAGGGAGAACCUCUCCUUCAAAAUUAUGGGUGAUUAUAUGUACCUGGAGAGAAUUUUAGAAUUAUGGGUGAUUAUGUGUAUCUGGAGAAAAGUGCUCCAGUGAAUUUGGCGUUGAUGAGAAGUGCAUCAACAAAUUGGUGUUGAUGAGAAGUGCAUCGACAAAUCGGUGGUAGUGAGAAGUGCAUCACAUAUAGAGGUGGCAAUCGUUUUGUUUCGUAUACUUUCGUGUUUCGUGUACUCAAAGGUGAACCCGUAUCCGCCCGUUAUCAAUUUCGUGUACCAAAUUUGAAACCCGUAUCCGAUCCGAAACGUUUCGUGUAUUUUUCAUGUACUUUUCGUGUACAUUAUAUAUAAAAUUUUUAAUAUAUUUUUAAUCAAAAAAUAGCUUUAAUAUAUAUUUUUCUAUAUAAUUUACUAAAUAUGAAUGAUAUAUUUAUGCUCGCAUACAAUUAUCUACAAAUUUGUUAAUGUAUCUAUAAUAUGUAUCUACAUAUACAUAUACAUAUAUAUUUAUUUAACACAGUUAUAUAUAUAUAUAUAAUAUAUUAUACCAUAUAUAUAAUGAAAUCUAUGUAUAAAUAUUUCGUGUACUUUCGUGUACCCAAAAUGAAAACCCAUAUCCGACACGAAAUCUAUCGUGUAAUUUCGUGUUCGUGUACUUUCGUGUUUCGUGUAUCAAAAAUCAAAACUCAUAUCCAUUUUUUUCGUGUCGUUUCAUUUCGUGUUAGCGUGUUACGUGUCAAAUUGCCAGGCCUAAUCACAUAUGAAGAGAAGUGCUUCAUAAACUCUCUUAAGUAAAUUUAAGAUUAUGGGGUGAUUGUUGGAAUAAUCUUAGAGGGGUGUAUUGGAUUGAGAUUUUAAAGCCUUUUUUUGCAUUCAUGAAAUCCGAGGGUAUUGGAUUGGGAUUGUUUGAAAUCAAUUAAAAUCUUGAGGUAUUCAAUUGGUAUUUUAAAUUAUACUACAAAAUCCGGUGGUAUUCAAUUGGGAAUUAAAAUUAUGCUUUAAAAUCCGAUGGUAUUCAAUUGGGAUUGUUUAAAAUCCAUUAAAAUCUGAGGGCAUUCAAAUGUUGAUGGAUUUUUUUGCAUUUCAUAAAAUGAUGGAUUUUGUGGCAUUCUUCAGUGUAUUUUAAGUUUUUUGAAAUCCCACCAAAAUCAAUGGGAUUUUGAAGCAUAUUUGUGCUUAAAUCCUAUAAACUCUGCGACAUAUUAUCAAAAAUCCGCACAAAAUCAAAAUCCAUUAAAAUCCAUAAACUAAAAACAAUCCAUUAAAAUCCCAAUCGAAUACAUCCCUAUUAAUUUACUUAUUAUUAUUAUUUGUUUAGUUAUAUAUUUUGAGUAUUAGUUAGAUUGAAGUAGUUGGAAGUUUGUUGGAGUCCUAGAGAAUUUGUAAGAGGUAUUGAGUCUAUUUGAGUCUAUCAUGUUUUAGGAGAUUUAUUAGAAGUAGUAGAGUAUUUAUGAAAUCUCUUUUUUAGAGGUACAAGAAUUAAUACAAAUCAAUUUUAUAUUCUUACAAAAAGAAGAGAGGUGGAAAUAAACCUAUAGCAGCCGUUGUCCGCCAUCAUCACCAUCACUAAAUAACUGCAAAUCUUUGUUCCAAUUCUCAUGCAAGAAAGAGCCAUCAGCGUCAUUUUCACACAAUCCAUCCUCCCAGUCCUUGUAAAGCAAAAAAGAACAAGGGAUUUACAUAUAAACCUCUGAAAAAGAGUUGAAGAAUGCGCACGCGCACACACACAAAAGAGAUGUUGAACACUUUUAGCCGAGUCCAUGUAAUAUAGAUUCCCCAUACGUAAGCUUACCAGAUGUAUCCCCAUGAGCAACCAUAAAUUAAAAGAAGCUCAAAGAAAAUAAUUAGCUUUUUGUUGUGGUUCAUUCAGAUGUAUCCAUCAAGCAUUUUCCAGGACCACUGAAGCAAUCUAUGCAAAACCAUGGUUGAACAUCACUAACUACACAAGUAGCCUUCCUCUUGUGUUCUGCUUAUCCAGGUAAAAAAGAAAAGACUACAUGUCUUUUUUUGCUAGCAUGUCUUAAAAUGUACUAUUAUAUAAUUUUCUUAGUUUUUUAAUAAUUUCACCCAUCUAUAAAAGUAUAAACAGAGGACAAGAACAUAUAUCACACCUUUUGUGCUUCUUUACACCUCAACAGAGAACCAAGCAGGGCCUUGAUUAUCGGUGGUUCCACUACGAUUCAGGCCAAGUUUCUCAUGAUAAAGUCAAGGAGCUUUGCUGCUUUGCAAGCCAUUCCAUCUCCUUAGCGGAGACCGGCCACUAUUGUCCGGGCAUGUGUGGGUGAACUUAAUUUGAAAUAUAAUCAUUUAUUUUGACAACAAUUUCACAUUCACAUACUAUUAAAUAAUAUUAAGUGUUUAGAGGACAUUUAGCAGAAAAUACACAUUUACAUACUUUCUCUUCCAGAUAUAAGUAAUUUAUUUCAAAAUACAAAAUAAGUUAAACGCCCAAGAUGUUUGAAUCAGUGAAUUACGCAAAUAUUUAAGAAUGAGAAAUCAUGGAGUAUGUUAUAAUACUCAAGUGCUUGUUACAUUCAACAUUUUACGGGAAAAAAGUAAAUUAAAUAUUUGCAAGAGAAUUAAUAGCAAAAAACGGAGCAAAUGUGUUCCAAAUUUUAAUUUUAAUAAAGCAAGUAAUGCUAUUGUAUUAGUUCUGGAAACAAAACGUAAUUUUCUCAUGAUGCAGACGCAGCAAACCGAUGAUUCCAAGUGUCUGUUAGCAGAAGGGGAGAGUGAAGAAGAAUAGAGAGUAUAAAGUCAUUUGGUUUGCUAUGAGGAGGUCAUUCAGGAAGCGGAACCAAGAGCGGUGAUGUUUGCAGAAACACAAGAGAAAGACUUCAAAUGGCAUCUUGAAAAGGAAUGAGAGCAGGCAAUUGCAGCAAACACAGCAACGACAACAAAAGUAAUCAAGGAAGAUGAGUAGGAUAGUCUUGUGAAACUGAGCUCCUGAAUUUCUGUUCUGCUUAGGAUUUUCGACAUAAUAAAGGUAUGAAUAGUAAUUACAAAAUUGAAAUAAUUGAACCAUAAUAUCAAACACAGAAGGGAAAAAAAUGGUUUUAAUAUGAACACUAAUCGGCUCAAUCAAUUUGAUUACUAAAUUGACUAAGUGCUGCUUUAAACGGGUGCCCAAGACAAUAGUGAUGAAAAAGAUUAAAGUCAAUAAUUAGUGACGAAAAAGAUAUAAAGAACUUGCUUGGCCAGUACUUAAAGUCCUGGACAUUAUAAUCAUGUGGUGUAAUCACAUGGUUUAAUGAAUUAUUGUUGAAUUUGCAACCAAAGAAUCAUGAAAAUGGUUAAAGACUGUCUCAGAGUCAUAUACAGUGGCUCCAUUAUAGUUUAAUUAAUAUACUUUGGCAAAGGGCAAUACUGGACAGCAAUAGAGAAUAUAAAGUGAUCACUCCUCACUUCCCUAUUCUUUGACUGACCUCCAAAUUACACUUUGUUAUACAAAUUUGUCCACUAAUUUCACAAUGAUCGUAUCAGGAACGAGUUCAAGUAUAUCAGAAGUAUAUUCUAGGUCUAAGCAAAAAUGUUUUAACACAAGUUUGUUCAAUUAACAGUCAUAAGCUGUAAGAUCAAUAAUAGGCUGAAUGCAAAUGCUAUUUAACAAAAACGUUACCAACAUCGCAUUGCAACAACAAAUAACACCGAUAAAAGACCGAAAACAAAUACAAUCCACCAAAAUAAGACCAGCUUCGCAUUGCAAGGUCAUGGAAUUUGAACUUAAGAUUCUAUAUGUUAUGUUUUAAGUCUGAACUCAAGUUUUGCCUAUAUCAGAUCAUAUUCCAAACUCAACUAAUGUGGGAGACUUGUGUAAUGAGUGCAACUGACCUUUUGCAACAAACAAGCACAUCAGUUCAAACUCUCCGACUAGCGUUUUCUUUUUAAAAUAAAAAGAAAACAGCAAUAGUUAUAAUCUCUCCAUUAAAGAUGACAAGUUCUGCAACUUUCGAAAUUAUUUAAUAACAUCACAUAGAAAAUCUACUCACUUCCCUAUUCUUCGACCGACUUCCCCAUGUGCCACAGAACCCAUAGCACAAGUACCGGAUCAUAUUAUUUUUAGCUUGUCCAGAUUUGGGUCCGGGAUCGUUUUAUUCGGAUCUAAACCGAUCCCGGGUAUUUGGGAUUCGGAUCUGAACCGGAUAUGAUCCAAUAUCGUAUUUUCUAUUUUUUAACCGGGUAGUUUAUGAUCCAUCGAAUAUGAGCCGGAUAUGAUCCACUUACACUAAGUAUCAUUAUUAUUUCAGUUGUUCAAAUAACUAUCAUUAGUCUAAGUAAACAUAAUAUUAUAAAGUAUAAUAAUUUUAAAUUAAAGCUUAUGGUUAUAUAUUGAUAUAUAUCAUUUAUUAAAUAUAUAUGAAGAUAAUAAGUAUGAUCACAUUAAAUAAAUCAUAUUUUAUGAAGAUAUAAACUUAAAUAAGAUAUUAAAAUUUUAUAAAAUGAUAACUAUUUACUUGCAAAUAUGAUGGUGUUAAAAUAUAAUAUGUAUAUGAGUUUGAAUCGAAUAUGAACCGCGGAUCAUAUUCGGUUAUUCGGGUAGGAUAAUAUUAUGAAAAGUUAUAUGAGCCCGAAUCUGAGCGGGUAUAGGUGUGCUCGUAUCCGGGAUCAUAUAUUAUACGGGCUUAAUUUUUCCGCCAGAUUUGGAUCGUUUUCAAAACGAAUAUGAGACAUGUAUCAUAUUUUCGAGCCGGAUAUGAGCCGAGACACCGGAUAGUCCGUAUCGAUUUACAGCCCUAGCAACAUCAUAAACAAAUGCAACUGUACAGUAACAUGGAGAAUCCAAUGUGCUGAAGACACCAAUACAUUUGAGCCUUAUCAAAUUUAUUACUCCCUCAUCCCAUUUUUAACUGUACUUUAUAUAGACUUGUUUGGUUUCUGCUGAAAAAAAAGUUGAACGAAUUAAUAUGGCUGAAGCAAUUGUGUCGAUUGUUAUGGGAAGGCUCGCUGAUUUAUUGAUUGAAAAACCUCAAAUCCUUAAUGAAGUGAGCGAUGAAAUUCAACUAGCUGUGACCGAGCUCAUGCGGAUAAAGACAUUCUUACCAGAUGCUGAUUCAAGGAUGGAUGUAGAAAGAAUCCGGAUUUUGCUCCGGGAUGUACGAGAGCUUGCCUAUGAUGCUGAACAUGCUGUCGAAACUUUUGUUAUUAAAGCCUCAUCGACUAAAAAACCAUUUCAGUGGAUGAACAGAGGCAAGUUUUCAAGGAAGAUGAAAGAUAUACAAAAAAAGAUGUCCAUCUUCUUCGAUUUGUUUUCUGAUUAUAAUAUCAGACCAACUUCUGAAUCAUCAACUUCCUCCAACAGAGAAUCGGGAAAACUAAAGCGAUUUCACUCUUUCACUACUCCUGAACCAGAGAUAUUUGUUGGAUUUCAUGACGACGUUGAAUGCUUGGUGCGACAUUUGGUGAAUGAAUCUGAUGAUUCUUACCCACUUAUAUCUAUUUGUGGAAUGGGGGGUCUGGGAAAGACCACUCUAGCUCAAAAGAUAUACAAUCACUCCGCCAUCAAGACUCACUUUGCUGGUUUAGCAUGGGUAUCAAUCUCGCGAAAGUGGCAAACAGAUCGGGUGUUGCAGAGAAUUCUUAUAUGUCUCGUCCCUGAGAACAAAAACUCUAUCCUUAAUAUGGAGACUGACAAGCUAGUGGAGUAUAUGCUACAAAUCCAGGAAAGGAAAAAAUGCUUGAUAGUCCUCGAUGACAUAUGGUCAACACAUGAUUGGAAUGCAUUAAAAGCUGCAUUUCCAGCCGGGAAGUCCAUAAGCAGAUUAAUGCUUACAAGCCGUAAUGCUGAGGUUGCUGACUAUGUGAAUUUAAACGGAUACAUUCACAAGCCAAAAUGUCUAAGUCCAGAACAAAGUUGGGAGCUACUCAAGUUAAAAGCACUUCACACAGGAAAUUGUCUAGGUACAUAAUUUUGGUUGUGUUAAUUAUAUUUCAUAUGCUUUUUCUUUACCAUAUCUUUUGUUUGACAACCUUAACUAACUGUAUUUUUUGUUACCUAAGUUCCAUAAAUUUGGGAAGAAAUCUGUCCAGCAACCUAAAAGAACAUUGUUCUGUUCCAUAACAUAUCGUUCAUGUUCGUUUACAAACCUAUGUAUUAGAAUUGUAAACGAAUCUAACAGUUCAUUAAGUGCCCUCUUGAGGUUUGAGUUAACGAACUUGAGUUCGAACCACAUAUUUUGUUUAAUAACCUUAACAAACAUUAUGGGGUUCAGUAAUUUUAGCUCGUGUUAACUUCAAGUUUAUCCGAGUUAAGUUCGUCGAUGGCUCUAACUUGAAUGUGUCUUUUAAACAUUUGCACUAGUUAAAGAAUUAGAAAUUAUCUUGGCUUGUGUGUAUACACACAGACACACAUAUGAAUCCCGUUUGUUGUGUGUUGCAGACAUUACCAGAGAUGUAAAGAGGAUGGAAGAACUGGGAAGGGAAAUGGUUGAACAUUGUGCCGGUCUUCCGCUAGCUAUAGUCGUCUUGGGUGGAAUUCUUGUAACAAAACCAUCGUUGAUAGAGUGGGAGAAGGUAUAUCGUGAUAGUAAAUCAUCCCUGAAGGCGGGGAAAGGACUGGGAGAAGCCUAUCAAAGGGAAAUAUUAAGUUUUUUAAUAUGGAGCUACAAUGAUUUACCGCCUCAGCUGAAGCCAUGCUUUCUAUAUUUAUCUAAGUUUAGUGAAGAUGAAUCGAUAGACAUAGAGACUUUGUAUCAGCUAUGGAUCGCAGAAGGAAUGAUACUCUCGAGUGACAAAAGGGAAGGAGAAACAAUGAUACAAGUGGCUGAAUCAUACAUGGGAGAACUAGUCCACAGGAAUAUGGUUCAAGUGAGAUUUAACGAUGUAGAAUCAUCGCUUACAAAGUUUGAAUCUUGUUCUCUGCACGAUCUUAUGAGAGACAUGUCUUUAAUACAAGCAAAAGCAGAAGAUUUUUUUGAAGUAAUACAUUUCCAAAGUGGAAAUGAGUUUCAUCUCAAAUCUACUACAGAGUCAAGGUCAGCUUCCACUCGAGUUGUGAUUCGUUUGGAUGAGGAAUAUUCUAGCAAAGAAGCUAAUUACUACUUUACCAAGAAACGCAAUCAAAAAUGCUAUCGAUCAAUUUUACUCCUCUGUGAGUUUGGGGCGAGAAGUCUGCCACGGGCCCUGGGGUUACAUUUUGCCAAUUUUAGGUUCCUAAAAGUCUUUUCUGUGGAGAAUUAUACCAAUUUUUCUGGUGCAUUUUCUCAUUUUAAUGUUGGAAGAGCAUUAGGGUCCCUUGUUUACUUGCGAUAUCUUAGUGUAAGGGGCAGUAAUUUGUCGGUUUUUCCAUCUCUACAAAAGUUGGUGCUAUUACAAACUCUAAAAUUGGAUAUAUCCGACAAGAUAUAUGUUUUACCAUGGCUGUCAAGAGAUGUUCUGGUGAAGAUGGAUUGUUUGCGGCAUCUGUAUUUGCCGAAAUUUAAAGUUGACGUUUUGGGAAGGAAAUCGAAAUUACGGUUUAAUGGGUUGAGCAAGUUAGAGACCCUGGAGAACUUUGACACUAGUUGGUGUGAGGUUAAGGAUCUACGUGAGCUAAUCAAUCUUCGGAAACUAACGGUAACAGUGAGGGGUAGCUGUGAUAUUCUGGAAGAAAUGAUGAAAAACUUGGAUGAUGUAGCCUCCUCAGCAUCUUCAUGUCUGAGGUUCUUGGGUGUCACUAUUGUUUAUUGUGAUAUUGAGCUGAACAAUGAUCUUACGAUCUUAAAACAAUUGGUAUAUGCCGAAAAUUUGAACCUUCGGGAAUUGAAAAUAUAUGGGUGUAUCCCAGAGGUGGGUCUAAUAUUUCCGCUGCAUGUAUCCACAAUUUGUAUUACAACUUUAAAUUUAGGGGAAUCAUACCUGGAAGAAGACCCAAUGCCAAUAUUAGAAAUGCUUCCAGUGUUGAGUGUUCUCCGAAUGUAUAGGGAUACAUAUGUGGGGAAGGAGAUGGUGUGCUCCGCAACCGGUUUUCCUAAACUCACCGUUCUUAUUUUGCACGAGUUCACAAACCUUGAAAAAUGGAGGGUGGAGGAAGGAAGCAUGCCCAUCCUUUCAUACUUGAUUAUUGCAAGUUGUAACAAGUUGGAGGAGUUUCCCG